rnacentral:lncRNA from 1 species
GCUGGGGCAGGUGGUGACGCUGGGCCUCAUGCCGUUCUUCCACAUCUACGGCAUCACCGGCAUCUGCUGCGCGACUCUGCGGCACAAGGGCACGGUGGUGGUGAUGGACCGGUUCGACCUGAGGACGUUCCUGGGCGCGCUGGUUGCGCACCGGGUGAUGUUCGCGCCCGUGGUGCCGCCGGUGAUGCUGGCCAUGGUCAAGAACCCCAUCGCCGACGAGUUCGACCUCUCCGGGCUGGCCCUCAAGUCCGUGAUGACCGCCGCGGCGCCGCUGGCGCCGGACCUCCUGGCGGCCUUCCAGAGGAAGUUCCCCGGCGUGCAGGUGGAGGAGGCGUACGGGCUGACGGAGCACAGCUGCAUCACGCUGACGCACGCCGGCGACGACCCAGAGAAGGGGCACAUCGCGAAGAAGAAUUCGGUGGGGUUCAUCCUGCCCAACCUGGAGGUGAAGUUCGUGGACCCCGACACCGGGCGGUCCCUGGCAAAGAACACGCCGGGGGAGCUGUGCGUCCGGAGCCAGUGCGUGAUGCAGGGCUACUACAGGAAGAAAGAGGAGACGGAGCGCACCAUCGACGCCAACGGCUGGCUGCACACAGGGGACAUCGGCUACAUCGACGACGACGGCGAUGUCUUCAUCGUCGACCGGAUCAAGGAGCUCAUCAAGUACAAGGGGUUUCAGGUUGCUCCUGCGGAGCUUGAGGCCAUACUCCUGUCCCAUCCUUCAGUCGAAGAUGCAGCCGUCUUCGGGUGAGUAGACAUGGAUCUCUGCUUCGGAAACAGCACGCAUGCCAUUGAGCUCGUGUGCUAUGUGUUGCAGACUGCCGGACGAGGAGGCUGGUGAGAUCCCGGUGUCGUGCGUGGUGCGGCGGAGUGGCGCGGCGGAGAGCGAGGCGGACAUCAUGGCGUACGUGGCGGCGCGCGUGGCCUCGUACAAGAAGCUCCGGAUGCUGCACCUCGUGGACGCCAUCCCCAAGUCGGUUUCCGGCAAGAUCCUGCGGAGGCAACUCAGGGACGAGUUCAUCAACAUGAUCAAACCCGCAGCCGCUUAACAUAAGGAUUUGCGGCUUCUUUCUAACCUACAUGCAUGCACAACAACUACAGUAUAUCUUUGUUACUUCAAAAUUGGGAGUGUCCACUUAUAUCUCAACACUUGAUUAUAUACGGAUAUGCUUGUUGGCACUUUGGCAAUGGACUGCUUUCUUUUCAUCAGUUGCCCGCAAUCUCUUUAGUUUUUACCGGCUGUUUGAAAUAACAACAAUAAUAGGUUCAUCAUGAAGGCAAGUAAAUUUUCAAGAUAAAAAAAGUAUCAUAAUUAUCCCGUCAAUCACGAUCAGUAUAAUAAAUACUAGUGGGCAUAACAAAAUCAAUAUCAAUAGGUCUACGAACAUAGCGUCGUCAUAAAAAGCAAUAUUUUCAUUAAGCGUGUCAUCUUCAUUACUUGAACAAUAAAGAUUAUAAUGUUUAUCCAAAUCAUAUUUUUCUAUAACUUCUUCAUUAGUAGGGGGACUAAAAUAUCAUGUUCAUCUCCCCUAAUAAUAAAGCGCGCAACGCUUCUGUCGUCCGUCGUCGGUCAUUUUACAGAAAGCCCUCGCAGUUUCAGUUAAUUAACCCGCAGUUCAACUUUAAGUUAAACGAACCGUUUUCUAUCAUUUUGCAGAAAAGUCCUCACAGUUUUAGAUAAUCAACCCGCGGUUCAUCUUUUAGUCAGAGCCGAAUCGUUUUUUUGCAUUUUACAGAAAACUCCCUGAUGUUUCAGGUAAUCAACCCGUCGUCCCUAUUUAAAUCAGCCGAAACGUUUUUUUGUUUUAACAAACAAACCCUGACUUUUCAGUUAAUCAAUUCAUAUUUUAUCUAAAACAAAAUUAUCCAUACCUUUUAAACCGUAACUCCGAUUUCAACAUGUUAUAUAUGAAAUUUGAUUGAAAAAUGUGUAGAAUCUAAAUAGGAUGUUAUUUUUAGCUGUUAAAUACUUCUUAAAUAUUAUGUUUGGUGCAAACUUAAUCUGUAGUGCACGAUCUUUUUUCUCUCUCUUUCCGACGACCAUACGAAUUGCAAUAAAUAUCCAUUAAAUUAAAACCAAAUUGAGAGGAAAGAAAACAUUGUUAACCACACAUGCACACCUUUGGAAAAUCUCGUGGGGAGAAACAACAUAUUUCUCAUCUUAUUCCGAGUGAUUGUACAUUCAAACGCGUUUUCGUUGUGUGAGCACUGAGGCCAUCGUCGACAACACAAAUGUGAUGCCAUGUGAAAAUACAUUACAUUCAAAGCGUGUGUUAUUUUCUCUUCCGUUGCAACGCACGGGCUUUUUUGCUAGUCAAACUCAUAUGUCCCAAGCUUAUAGCUUUGCAUAUCAUUAGCACAAUCAAUAAUCAUAAAAUUCAUUCAAAUACCAUUGCAAACAUGCUUUUCAUUAAAGGGACUUUCAUUAAUCAUUUUAUGAAAUUAUUUUUUAACACUUCAUGACAAUUUUUAAAUUCAGGAUUUUCAAAAAAGUUCAUAAAGAUAAAGAAGCGCACUCAACUCCAUUAUUUUUCAAAGAACUUAUUCCAAUAGGAUUUUCUUCAUCACUAGUUAUUGAUUUAUCGUAAUUACGAUUUUUUUAAAGAUUGCCAAGUGAAUGAGGAUCCAUAAUUUCUUUUUGUUUUAUGUUUGGUGUGUCAACAAUAAAGAUAGCAUAACUAGGCAAGAAAAUAAUUAAAGAAUGAAAGGAUUUCUAUGAAGGCACCUGAUUUGGUAGAUGAAGAAUCGUCGUCAACGACACUAGAAAUUCUUCUGCUACUCCCGUAGGAGUUGUUGGAUUUCUCUGAAGAGGACACGUGAUGUAGCAUAACGGCAAAAAGUAUCUCGCUAAGUUAAUAAUCAAGGUUUAAUCGAACCAUUAGGAGUCUCCAAGCUAACAAGAUAAGCAACACCUACACACAAACAAAAUAAAUGUUAAGGCAUGAUAAAAGAAAAUGUUUGAAAACUCACAAAAAAGUAGCAUUCAUAACUAUGAUCAUUCAUGGCAUAAUCUUGUAUACUACUAUCACUCGAGCUUGAAACUUGUAAAAAUGAAGUAUGUCUACCAAAGGGGGUGAAUGGGAGUUGUAAAACAUCUUUCAGAAACUUUAAAGCUCUCGGAACCCAGCAGCGGAGCGACCGAAAAGAUAGUACACUGAGCGAAUAGGAAAAAAUGAAUGAGAACUAAACCAUGCACUGAAAGGAAGCACAUGACUGAAAUAUGAUAUGCAUCAUAGCAUGGAAGUAAACUUAGAUAAGUGAAAGGUAAUCAAUCGAGACUCAACAAGUGUUAUUUCUCUUGAAGAUGAAAUAGACUCCCCCGAGAUGUAUGCAGGGAUAUAAAUUUGAGAAUCAUUUUCGUGCACAUGUUUGGAGUAUAUAUAGGAGGUAAAUUUCGUUCCUUCAAGAAUAAUUGAUUCACACUGACGAAUAAUAUGCAAAGAUAGAACAAUGCAAUCAUUUGUAACUUUUGAUAAUAUUUUCACACGCAAAACAGAUACUUCGAGAGAUAUGGUGCAUCUGGAGGGGUUAUUAAUAUUACAACACAGAAUUUUAGUGAGAGUUUUACAACUUAGCAAAUGAAACACGAAUGAAAGAAAUUGCAAACUAGAGAGAAAAACACAACCAAAUAAACACCAAAAGGAAAAUCUACCAGAACUCGGUGCAAUUCUCCCCUUUUUGUCAACAAGUGGAAAAAAGGUGACGAAUAACAGGAGGCGGGAGGCUUGAAAUGAGGAUCACUUUGAAGCAUCGCCAGAUGAACUGUCAGAAGAUUCUUCUUCUCCGGACGUGAAUGGAGGAACGAUAAUUGCUUUGUCUGUCGCAGGAGUUUUUCUGUCUGGAGAUAAAGCAUGAGGCUGAGAAGGCGAUCCUGGCAGAUUCGGAUCAGCUAGUGGAGUGACUCGGCUCAGAGUAUUGCCUUCGGUUGGUUUAACAGUCGGUGAGGUGGCCCCGGAUUCAUCUAGCAGCUUUCAAUGCUUGAGGUGAAGUAAAUAAGUUGUAGGUGCAUGAGCCGACAAAGGUGGAGUAUUCCGCUCUUGAAAAUCAUCAACUUCAAACCCCUUGUGAAUGUAAUCAUAAAGCUCUUUGAGAUUUACAUUUGAGAGGUGUUUUUUGGUGGAAAUCUUUCGAAGCAACUUCCAGAGGCGCUUCUUGUUCUCAUCAGGAUAAGAUGGAUCAACAGAGUGUGAUUAUGAAUCGCGUACUGUUCGGAGGCUAGAUGCUCUUUCUCUUGUGUGUCUUCGGAAAUGUUCUGUAGAAGAAGUUGUUGCAUGCACAUGCUGACUUCAAGCUGCGUUGGAGUUUGAGGUGCAAACAUCCAGUCACGAUGAGGAAGCUUUGGUCCAUCAAAGUGCUUGUGAUAAUCUUGAGGGCUUGAUGUUGUCGAUUUGCCCGAAGUGAAAUCUUGCAAAACUUGUAGUGUAUCACAAACUUGAGGAAUGCAAUUUUUGUGACUUGCCUUCGCCAUAUAGACCGUGCCCAUAACAUGAUCAAUAAAUUUUUGAAUCCAGGGUGUGAGGACAUUGAAGAAAAACGGUUACUGGGCAGAAUCCUUAAGGAUGCGAGAAAACAUAUUUUCUGUGUCGAAUAUGUAUCGCUCAAAGAUGACAUAGAUAGCAUUCCGAGGAACAUCUGAAAUGAAUUUUUCAGGGUUCACUCCAACCAAAGGGCAAAUGGUGUAAGACAACAUAUGGUACAAUGUCUGACUUUCGAAUGUCAAGUGCUCAGGUAUUGCAGGACCAGAAUAAUCUUGAAUCUUUUCUUGAUCCAUGAUAGACCAAAAUUCAUCAUCAGAGAUGACAUCAAUGUUGUGCACACGAAUUUCCGUGUCACCAUGCUUGAAGCGAGGAAAAUGAAAGUGAGACGUGAAAUCCAUGGAAGUGCAUUUGAUUUGAUUUCCCUCUAUCAUCCAUUCCAUGCUCUACUUGGAGCUAUUUGGCUCAGAAUAAUUUCGCGGUUCCAAGGAUGCUCGAACACAAACAACUUGGUGAGACAAAAGUCAUCCAAAUCCCGAAGCAAUUGAUUGAAACAACAAAUAUUUUGCAUAGCAGGAAUGUUGAGAUAUUCAUAAGGAAAUAUCUUUAGGUUGUCGUAGAGGACCCGAGAGUAAUUAAUGGCAUGUACUUGUGACAGCCCGAAACCGACGUUCCAGAACAUUCCCCCUUAUUUCCGUUUUCGUCGGGUGACUUAUUUUAUUUGUCGCAUCAUUCGCACCAUCCGCAUUGCAUCGACAUCCCGUUGCUGCCAGUUUUCAAAACUUGCAUCCGUUGUUAGUUGCCGGUUCGCGUCGUUGUUCGUUCUUAGCCCGACCAUACUCGCACGCGCCCGCGGCAUCGUUCAAAUCUUGUUUUUAAAAGUGUGUAUAAAACUUUCUCUGAUUGGGUUGAAACUUGGCAUGCGGUCUUAAUAUAUUAUAGGUAGGCCGCCUGCCAAUUUUCGUCCCAAUCGGAGUCCGUCUGGUACCCGAAUGGUCGAACGUAUUCGGUCUAUCGUCGGACGUUUUAUCGAUGUUUUAAAAUACAUUGUCGGGUGCCCGUUUUCCCUCUUAUCCCUACCUAGCCUACUCUACACAGCUAACCCUAACCCGACUCUCCGAUCGGACCGUACGAUCGCGAUCGGAUGGUCGAAAAACCCCCAAAACCCCCUAACCUAGCCCCCUUUCCUAUUUAAACCCCCCUAACCUGCCCCUAAUGAAAACCCUAGCCGGCUGCCUCGAUUUCAGCGCCCACCAACCCAGCCGCCGCCACCUGGUCUCCCUCCUCUCCCCGCAGCCCCUCGUCCCCCAGCGCCCGGCCCGCACGAGCCCAUCGGGGGCCCAACGGGUCCGAACUCUCGUCGCCCGAGCCCGGAUUGCGCCGCCUCCAGCCGGCUCCUCCCACGGGAGCUCCUCCCGCGCGCCCCUCGCCAAUUCUUGUCGAGCUCCCCGUCGCCGCGCUGCCUUGGGGCCUCGCCGGAGCGCCGCCACCUCUGCGAGCCCGCCUCCUGCAAGCCUCCCGCCGCCGACCAGCCAUGGCCUCGAGCGCCCAGUUGCGGUCCCCUUGCCCGAUCUGCAUCGCCAUAUAGAUCUUUCCCAAGCAUAUGACGUUAGCCAAGAUAAAGGAGAAAUAAGGAAUCGGUGAAGAUCACCAUGACUCUUUCAAGGGCAAAAAGUAAAGGUACAAGAUAGGCCCUUCGCAGAGGGAAGCAGAGGUUGUCAUGCGCUUUUGAGGUUUGAAUGCGUGUCCUCUUAGUGCGGAGGAACGUCACUUUAUAUUGCCUCUUGUGAUAAAGAACUUUAUUAUGCAGUCUGUCGCUUUUAUGUCUUCCUCAUCACAGGUUCGUGCAAAGCUUAUUUUCCACACACGAAUAGAUCAAACAUAUUAGGCAGCAAUUUUUAUUGCUUGCACCGAUGACAACUUACUUGAGGGAUCUUAUUCAAUCCAUAGGUAGAUAUGGUGGACACUCAUGGAAAAACUGGUUUGAAGGUUUAUGGAUGCACAAGUAGUAUCUCUACUUGGUGCGGGAGUUUUGGCUAAUAUGAGGUGGAAGCAAUCGUCACAUGCUAAGGGAUCUCUAAUCAUAUAACAUUGUUAGGAACCAAGCAAACACAAUUCAUUAUGUUGUCUUCCUUGUCCAACAUCUACUUCUAGGCAUGUAAUAGUUUAGUGAGUGUUCACAAUCAUAGAUGGUGUCAGAGCUGAUAUAUUAAUAUGUGAACCUCUCCUUCUUUAUCACUUCCUAUUAAUUGCAACAAUGACCAAGGUCUACGUUUGCCUACCCUCAACAAGUUUCAAUCCUCAUUAUUUUUAUAUGUGAAGCCAUCACUUCCCAUAAAAUCAUUACAUGAUCUUUCAUGCUUUUGUUCUAUUCUCACUCUUUUGAUCACGGCAAGAGGCAAAGCCUUUCAACUAAGACACUCUUUAUUAUAUGGCUCACGAGCUCGAAUACAUCGGGGGUGACACAAAGCAAAACUCAAGACUAAAACACUAAGACUUUUAAACUACUAGAGAAAGAGAUAAUUGAAAAGGAAAACUAAAACAAAGGUAAAGGCAAAAGAUGUGAUGGUGAUACGAUACCGGGGCAACUCCCCCAAGCUUGGCACAAGCCAAGGGGAUUGCCCAUACCAAUGCUCAGUUGUCUUCCUUUGGUGGUGAAGGUGGAGGAGUUGUUGCAAUCUUUGACUCCAAGAGGGCCAUUAAUCUUUGAUUUAUACCUUGGAGAUCUACGAUAUGUUUUUCCAGCAAAACAACUUCACGGGUGAGACAAGUAUUGCGAGCACGAGUUGUUUCACAAAACCUCAAGACUUCAAUCAAAGAUGGAGACAGUAGGUGGAGGUAGGGUUGGAGGAAAUCCACAUCUUCAACUUCUUCCUUGUUGAGCACAGAUUGCACUUCGUCCCAUGCCUGAUCCUUCUCCUUAGCUUUGUCCUUGGUUUCUUUAGGUAGCCUUUCCUUAGCCUCCAUGACCUCCAUCCUUUUCAGAUCAACAUGAACUUCUCCAUAGAUUUGACGGAGAUUGUCCCCCCCACAGAUUCCUGGGACGACAUCUUGCUCUAAAUCUGCGGCAGAAAACAGGCUCGAAACAAAAAACAGAGGAAAUAUGUGUGAUGCAGGGGUCAGACCAAACGAAAGUAUAUAUAAUGAUUUUUUCAGACCAGAAGGAGUACCCUGCACGAAAACGGAGUCCGGGAGGCGCACGAGGUGGCCACAAGCCCUCACGGCGCGACCAGGGGGUGGGCCCGCGCCGUGCAGGCUUUUCGCCUCCUCGCGCACUUUCCGGACUACUUCCAUUUUUUGUAUUUUUUCAAAUAUUCCAAAACGGAGAAAAUUUCCUACUGGAAAAGUUUUGGACUCUGUUUUCUUACCGAAUCACAUACCUCUUCGUUUUUGGAGUCUGAAAUAGGCUGAUAAAUAUCCCUUAGGUAUUCUUCCGGAGUUAUGGUAUUGAUGAUAUUGCUUUCAACAUUUAUGGGAGUACCUAAGAUAUAAUGCUUGAUUAUGUGCCCAUUUACCACUCUCGGACAAUUACCUUCCGUGUUGUUGAUCUUGAUAGCACCGGAACGAUAUACUUCCUCAACAACAUAGGGACCUUCCCAUUUAGAGAGAAGCUUGCCUGCAAAGAAUCUUAAACGAGAGUUAUAUAGCAAGACAUAAUCACCUACAUUGAACUCACGCUUUUGUAUCCUCUUAUCAUGCCACCUCUUAACCUUCUCUUUGAACAGCUUGGCAUUCUCAUAUGCCCGAGUUCUCCACUCAUCAAGCGAGCUAAUAUCAAAUAACCUCUUCUCACCGGCAAGUUUGAAAUCAAAGUUGAGCUCUUUGAUUGCCCAAUAAGCUUUAUGCUCUAGCUCAAGAGGUAAAUGACAAUCUUUCGCAUACACCAUUUUGUACGGAGACAUGCCCAUGGGAUUCUUAUAGGCAGUUCUAUAAGCCCACAGUGCAUCAUCGAGCUUCUUAGACAAUUCUUUCUAGACCUGUUGACAGUCUGAAAGGAUCGAUAUGGUUGGCUAGAGGGGGGGGGGGUGAAUAGACAACGACCACUUUUUAAUUAAUCUUAACAAGUUAAGCUAAACACUAUACGGGUUCACAAAUAAUAUGACAAAGAGGUGACCCCUAUAGAAGCUACCAACAAGACCUAUUAAGACAAGUAAGAUAUAGUCACAUGUAAAAGCAAAUACAAAGUAAAGGUUAGAGAUAACCACAAGUGGAACCGAUGGAUACGAGGAUGUGUUACCGAAGUUCCUUCCCUUUGACAGGAAGUACGACUCCGUUGGAGCGGUGUGGAGGCACAAUGCUCCCCAAAAAGCCACUAAGGCCACCGUAUUCUCCUCACGCCCUCGCACGAUGCAAGGUACCGUGAUUCCACUAUAGGUGCCCUUGAAGGCGGCGACCGAACCUUUACAAACAAGGUUGGGGCAACUCCACACAAAGCUUAGAGGCUCCCAACAAGACCACGAAGCUUCACCACAAUGGAAUAUGGCUUCGAGGUGACCUCAACCGUCUAGGAUGCUCAAACACCCAAGAGUAACAAGAUCCGCAAGGGAUAGGUGGGGGAAUCAACUUUUCUCUUGGUGGAAGUGUGGAUCUAGGCCUUCUCAACCAAUCCCUAAAGAAUCAAAAAGUUUGAUUGGCUAGGGAGAGAGAUCGGGCACUUUUAAGCUUGUGGAGCAACAAUGGAGCUUAGAGAGGUAAGAGAUAGGGUUCCUCAGCUAGAAGAACCCUUUAUAUAGUGGGGGGGGGGAAUCAGACCGUUUUCCCACUCUCUGCCCGAGAUCCAGCAGUACUACCGCUGGGAAGGAGCGGUACUACCGCUGCCUGGCGGUACUACCGCUGGAUGCAGCGGUACUACCGCUGGGGCUUCCAGCGGUACUACCGCUGGCCCCUUGGUAGUGCAUAAGCACUACUACCGCCGGGAAAGUCUUCGCAAAAGGGUCCGUCCACGAACUACCGCUAGGUAGGUGGAACAAGGCACCUGGAGCGGUACUACCGCUGACCAGGGGGCGGUACUACCGCUGGCUAGCGGUACUACCGCUGUCAAGUGGCGGUACUACCGCCAGACAGCGGUACUACCGCUGGCUGCAGUGGUACUACCGCUGGCAGUCCAGCGGUACUACCGCUGGCACCAGCGGUACUACCGCUGGGGACCAUUUUGCAGAGAUGCUCAAGACGAAUUAGGCGAGGGCCGCUCCAAACAAGGAAGGGGAGAAUUGUGAAGUGUGCGUGUGUAAAGAUAGAUUCCACCCAAACCUUUCCACUACGGAUCCCCUCUUAAUAGUACGGCUUUCCUAUGACUCAAAUAAAGAGAAUCGUAGAGAGCGCCGUGUUUCCGUUCCAGAAGAGAGGAGACGAGUUGUCGUGUGCCGUUGACGAGUGUUACCUGAAACCUUGACACACACGAUUAGUCCUGUACGGUACUGUCAUCAAUCACCAAAAUUACUUAGUCAUAAACUAUGCCUCAACAAUCUCCCCCUUUUUGGUGGAUUGAUGACAAUACCGGAUUUGCACAGAUAAUAAUAUGAGAAUAAAAAGAUAGAGAUAUAUGACAUAUGACUCACAGCAUAUGAUGGAAAUAAAUCUAAUCUCACAUAAGAAAGAUCAUGUCUCACACAAGAUAGCAAACGAAUCAAACCAAGUUCAAAGCAAACCAUACGAGAUAAAGCAAAGCAAUGCAAAGUUCGAAGUGAAAGCAAAUCCUAGACUCUCUCCCCCUUUGGCACAAGACACCAAAAAGGGGCACACCUAAUGCCACAGGUAACUACUCCUCGUCUUCAGGAUCACCAGACUCGUCUGUCCCCUCCUGGUCGGUCUGCUCCUCCUCUGCUGCCUCAUCGCCAGACCACUGGUACCCCUGAGCCUGCAUCCAAGUGGCCUCCGGAGUGAUGUCGUCCUCAGAGCCGCUGGAGAUGUCCACAUCCAAGGUCCUGAGAACACGCUUAUGCCUCUGGCGGCUCUGCUUCUGAGCCACAUGUGUCUGGUACUGUCCCUUGGCCUGCAUACAGAAAAGUGUCUUUAUCUUGUCCUGCAGUUUGAUAGCCCAAGAUGGCAUGGCAGACGAGCGGGGCUGAGAGGCAGGUCCUCUGCCAGCAGCGGUCUCUGUAUCAGUGUCCAUGUGCUGAGAAGAUGAAGAUGGGUUGGCCCACUUGUCCUUGAUGCGCAGCUUGAUUGGGUCAUGCACAAUGUAAUCAGACUAUGCGUAGAGCACCUCAUCCGGAAACGCCUGUUGCCACUUAUGGCUGAUGUAUGCGAACAGGUAAGGCCCGUAGAUAGGAACCUUACGGUUGAUGAUGCAGUUCCAGAUCUCUGUGAACAUCACAUCUGCAAUAUCCAGUGGAGCAGACUCCUGAGACAUAGCUUCCUCACACAGUAACAGCAUCUCAGCCAAGUAGCCAUGGACCUCAUCGAAGUUACCACUCCGAGGGAAGAGGGUGUUGCGAAAGAUGCGAUGCAUGAUGUCCAGGUGCUUGGGAAGCACCCCCUUCCUCAGAUACAGUGACUGCAGUCUGUCCUUUGCGAGGGCCCUAUCAGUGGGGGCUGGAGCGUGAGGACGCAGCCCAAGAGGAGUGUCAGCAUCCUGAAAGUCAAUGUGAAGGAACUGCAUGAACUCUGCCCAAGAACCGGUCAUUUUCUUUGACCCAGUCAUCCAUAUCAUGGAGCGCUGUUCAUCAUGGGAGAAAUGGACUGUGACAUAAAACUGAGCAACUGCCGUGGGAUCAAAAUCCGUCUUGAAGGAGAUGAUGUUUUUGAUGCCCAGCUUGUCAAUCAAAGCGAGGGCAUCACCAAAGUACUCCAUGUUCCGCUGAAGAUGUGCCAGAUCAAUCCACUGGACAGAGACAAAGUUCUUCUUGAAGUUGGCAAUAACAUCUCGAUAGAUCCUGCAAUGGUCCUUUACCCAGACAUGGUCAACACCAUCAAUCUCAUCCCUCUCCUGGAGAUAGUGGUUCUUGGUGCAAAAUUGCAGAAAGUCCUUGGGGGACAUUGUACGGACAUUCACCCUCUUAUGAGCGACCUUCUUGAAGGACUUCUUCUUGGGAGGCAGGCCAGACGUGGCAGACCCCUCGGGCGCCUCUGGGUUGCGAAACUGUUUGGAUUGCGUUUCCCGUGGGGGGUUCGAACGGCGAGCAGAGCCACCUGUGACACAGACCACAAAGCAAGAAAGAGGCAACAAGAAGAGUCAAGGCAAUGAAUCUUGAAAACGCGAAACAAGUAAACACGGAUUGCUAAGCAAAAACAAGCUGAAAAUACACCGUGAAUGCUCUGGCGGUAGUACCGCUGGGGGUCAUAGCGGUAGUACCGCUACCCCUGGCGGUAGUACCGCUGGGGUCCUAGCGGUAGUACCGCUGGGGGUUUGACUUUCAGAUCUACACAUAUAGAACUCGUUUUCGAUGGCAUGGACUGAAUAUGAACACUAAGACGUACACCCCAGCCCUACUGUCAUGAGAAACACAUAGUAACACGAGGUACAAACAUGCCUAGGCAAGAGAGAGCACGUUUUAGAUCUAAUCCAAAAGUUCAAGUAUUCGAUCUAAGACGAUGAAAUCCAAAACCAUGGCAGCAAUCAUAACAACAAACCAUUGGACCUAUACUCCCCUCAAAUAUUUCCUUCAUGCCAUCCAAUAACUAGCCAUAGGAUCAACAAGAUGAAUCCAAUCCCCAAUGCUCCUAACCCUAGAACACGAAGAACAACCAAAUAGAAGAAGGGAGGAGCUUUUGUUACCGGGAUUCAUGGCUUUGGAGGAGAAAGAAGAAGUGAAGCAGCCCUUCCACACCAACGGGGAGAAGGAGCUCCACGAAGUGAGAUCCAAUCGGGGGGUUUUAGGUCUAGGGGAUGGAGGAGCCGCGAGGAAGAAGAAACAGAUGGGAAAAUCGGGCUCCCCCUCCCUUUAUAUAGCCCAAGGGGUACGGACAGCGGUAGUACCGCUGGGGUGCAGCGGUAGUACCGCUGGGCUGGCAGUAGUACUGCUGGGGUCCUGGCGGUAGUACCGCUCCCCCUUGAAACCCUAGAAAUUUUCUAGCCGGCCGUGGUAGAUUUUGAAUCCUUGCGGUAGUACCGCUACCCCUGGCGGUAGUACGGCUGGGGUCCUGGCGGUAGUACCGUUACCCCUGGCGGUAGUACCGCUGGGGUCCUGGCGGUAGUACCGCUACCCCUGGCGGUAGUACCGCUGGGGUCCUGGCGGUAGUACCGCUACCCUGGCGGUAGUACCGCUAUACAUGUUUCAACACGGCUAGGAAAAUGGGAAACUUGGGCACAUGACAAGUGAGUAAAAAGGGAUGACUUCCAAGAAAAUGUACUGACUUGUCAUUGUAUAUCCUCUCCUUUAUACGCAAGAGAGGAUGGAGGGGCGGUGUCCGUGGCCACCUAUGUUUGAGACAAUGGUAUGACACCGCGAAGAAUUAUCCUUGGGUUCAUGACCAAUGCUCGUCUUUGAAGCACAAGUACCAUUUGACAAUGGCUAAAGUGAAAGACUAGAUUGAUUUACGCAUAAUGGGGGGAGGGAGAGUUCAUUGAGAGAACAACACUCCCCCUAUGUCCAUGCCUACAUCUAGACCAAGAUGAAAUGUGAAGUGAGGUGCAAUAUGCCUAGUUUCAAUCCACAUUACUUGAAUCAAUGAUAUUUAGCUCAUGCCUUAACUCCCGGAACCUUGCUUCAUCUAGUGGCUUGGUGAAAAUAUCUGCAAGUUGCUCUUCAGUGUGGAUGAAGUGAACCUCAAUAUCACCUAGCUUGAUAUGUUCACGGAUGAAGUGAUGACGAAUAUCAAUAUGUUUGGUUUUGCUAUGUUGCACUGGGUUGAGGGAAAUCUUGAUGGCGCUUUGAUAGUCACAUAGAAGAGGCACUUUGUCACAAGUGACACCAUAAUCCUUUAAAGUUUGCCUCAUCCAUAGCAAUUGAGCACAACAACUUGCAGCCGCCACAUACUCAGCCUCGGUGGAUGAUAAGGAGAUGCAGUUCUGCUUCUUUGAAGACCAACUUACCAAAGAGCGACCAAGGAAUUGGCAUCCUCCAGACGUUGACUUCCUCUCCACACAAUCUCCAGCCCAAUCUGAGUCAGAAUAGCCAACUAGAUUGAAGUUUGCUCCUUUGGGAUACCAGAGGCCAAAGUUUGGGGUAUGAGCCAAAUAUCGAAAGAUUCGUUUGACAGCCAUGUAAUGACUUUCUUUUGGUGCGGAUUGAAACCGUGCACAUAUCCCUACACUCAACAUAAUAUCCGGUCUAGAUGCACAGAGGUAAAGGAGGGAUCCAAUCAUGGAGCGGUAUACCUUUUGAUCCACAGCUUUACCAUUGGGAUCACUGUCUAGCUUGCAUCUGGUUGGCAUGGGAAACUUGACCGGUUUGACAUGCUCGAGCUCGAACCGCUUGAGCAUGUCUUGAGUGUAUUUGGCUUGUUUGAUGAAUGUCCCUUCUAGACCUUGGUUAAUCUCGAACCCGAGGAAAAACUUCAACUCUCCCAUCAUGGACAUCUCAAACUUCUCAGUCAUUAGUGCAGCAAAUUCUUCAUUGAAUGAAAUGUUAGGAGAGCCAAAGAUAAUAUCAUCAACAUAUAGUUGGCAUAUGAACAAAUCCCCUUUAACCCUCUUAGUAAAAAGAGUGGGAUCAAUCUUCCCAAUUUCAAACCCACGAUCUUGUAACAACUCAGUAAGGUACUCAUACCACGCGCGUGGGGCUUGUUUAAGGCCAUAGAGUGCCUUAUUGAGUUUGUACACAUGAUUGGGGAGCUUGGGAUGUUCGAAUCCCGGGGGUUGUUUGACAUAUACUAACUCAUUCAAAGGACCAUUAAGAAAUGCACUUUUCACAUCCAUUUGCUGUAAUUUGAAGUUAUGAUGAGAAGCAAAUGCAAGUAACAUGCGGAUAGAUUCUAGACGAGCAACAGGAGCAAAGGUUUCACCGUAGUCGAUACCCUCGACUUGGGAGUAGCCUUGAGCCACCAAUCUUGCCUUGUUUCGAAUCACAAUUCCAUUCGCAUCUUGCUUGUUCUUAAAUAUCCAUUUGGUCCCAAUGACAUUAUGUUCCUUCGUUGGUCGAGGCACUAAAUCCCAUACUUGGUUGCGCUCGAAGUUGUUAAGUUCUUCGUGCAUGGCCAUAAGCCAAUCCUCAUCAUCGAGUGCUUCCUGUACCUGUUGAGGUUCACAAUACGAGACAAACGCGUGAUGCUCACAAUAAUUCCAAAGCUGUUGACGAGUAGAUACUCCCUUUUUUAAACUGCCAAGAACAUUCUUCAUAAGGUGUGAUUUGACUCUCAGCUUGUUCGCAUUCUUGGCUGCUCGACGCUCCAAGAGUUCUUCAUUAGAUAACGGAGGUGCGUCGCCUUGUUUCGCUUGUUUGCCCUUGCGUCUUGAGCCGGUUGUUGGAGCUCCAGACGGGAAUUGUGAGACAGUUUCCUGAUCAUCUUGUCCUUCGACCUGAGCAAGUUCACUGGUUUGGUCUUGUAUUAGUGGUUGCUCUUGAUCUUGAUCUCGUGCUAGUUCAAGGUCUUGGGGUAGUGCUUGAGUGGGCAUAUCACCAUUGUUAGGCAAUUGAUCUUGACCGAGAGCUUGAUCAACUUGUUGAGAGUCUUCUCUUUGUUCAUCGGAAGCGUGUGGGGCUUGUGGGGGUGAUGGCUCCACUUGAGUAGAGCAUUGCCCUUCUCCAUCGGCCACAAGGGGUUCCUCAAUGGGUAGUAUUUGACCAAUCCCCAUUCUUCUUAUGGCUUCGGGAGGAAUUUCAUCACCUAUAUCACAAAGACCACUUUGCUCCACUUGGGAGCCAUUAUUUUCGUCAAACUCCACGUUACACGUCUCCUCAAUUAGUCCGGUGGACUUGUUGAGGACACGGUAAGCAUGAGAGUUUGUAGCAUAACCAACAAAGAUACCCUCAUGUGCUCUAGAAUCAAAUUUAGCUAACCGAGCUCCCUUUUUAAGAAUGAAACACUUACAACCGAAUACCCGGAAGUACUUGAGAUUGGGUUUGUUUCCAGUUAGAAUCUCAUACGGAGUCUUGUUCAAGCCUUUGCGGAUAUAGAGCCGAUUGGACGCAUGACAUGCUGUGUUGAUGGCCUCUGCCCAGAAGUUGUACGGAGAUUUGAAUUCUGCCAUCAUUGUUCUUGCAGCGUCUAUCAAGGUCCGGUUCUUCCUUUCUGCCACCCGUUUUGCUGAGGGGUAUAUGGUUCAGAAUAUUGGUGCUUUAUUCCCUCAUCACCUAGAAACUCAUCUAGGGUGUAGUUCUUGAACUCGGUGCCGUUGUCACUCCUAAUCAUCAAGAUCUUUGCUACAUGUAGACGUUGCGCUUCAUUAGCAAAGUUGAUGACCGUUUGUUGAGUUUCACUCUUCCUUUUGAAGAAAUAUACCCAGGUAUAUCUUGAGUAAUCGUCAACAAUGACUAAGCAAUACUUUCUGCCUCCAAGACUAUCAAAUGUUGGAGGACCAAACAGAUCCAUGUGAAGAAGUUCCAAUGGCCUCUUAGUGUAGAUAAGAGUUAUUGGACGAUGAGCAGUUUCAUGAAUCUUUCCUUCAAUGCAAGCACUGCAAACACGAUCUUUAGCAAAGCUCACAUUUGUUAGUCCACGAACAUGGUCCCCUGUCAGAAGACUUUGCAAAGAUCUCAUAUUGACAUGAGCUAAACGGCGAUGCCAAAGCCAGCCCACGUCAACUUUAGCCAUUAAACAUGUCGCAGUCUUAGUGGGUCGCUUUGAAAAGUUUACCACAUAGAGACCAUUUUCGACAUGUCCAACAUAGGCUACUUUAAGAGUCUUGCUCCUUAGGAGGACCACAGUGUCAAUAUUAAAGAAUGUGGAAAAACCCAUGAUUGCAAGUUGACGAACGGAAAGUAAAUUGUAGGCAAGAGACUCAACAAGCAUGACCUUCUCAAUAGACAAAUCUUGAGAGACGACCACCUUACCAAAUCCCAAUACCUUUGACGAGGAUGCAUCGGCGAAUUGGACAUGGGUGGGCAUAGAUGGAGAAGGAUGCACAUCCACCACUAAGUCCUUGCUUCUGGUCAUAUGAUUUGUUGCUCCACUAUCGAGCAACCAUGACACCCCACCGGAAGCAAACUCCUGCAAUAGAUCAAGGCUUGGUUUUAGGUACCCAUUUUUUAAUGGGUCCUUUCAUGUUAGAGACAAGGGUCUUAGGAACCCAGAUAGCCCAUUCAAUAUCUUCAUCGUAGGAACCAAUAAAUCUAGCAUAAACAUGCCCAUCACUAGCACAACGUAACACAUAAGAGGAAUUGAGUUUGCCGGCUGUGUUAGUAGGAGCGGUUUUGCCCUUCUUGGGGUUCCCAUAGUCCACCUUGUUCCUGUUCACCUUCUGAGUCCCCUCACCCUCCUUGACAAAGAUGUCCAUGAGGGUGAGAGAUCGUUUGUUCUUGUUCUUCCUUUUACCUUUUGACUUGGAGGUAAGUCCAAGUCCUUCCUUUCCUACAACACCCUUUUGAGUGCUCAAGAGAUCGUUCAGACUCUUCUCACCUUGUCUGCAUGACACAAGGCCCUUCUCAAGUUUCUCCUUUAACUUGGCAUUUUCCUCCACAAGAUGAACAUGCUCACAACAGGGGUUAGUUGCACAAGUAUUAUCAAUUAACACAAAGGGAGGACAAGUAGAGAUCUCCUUGGUAAGCUUUGCUUGGAGUUGAUCAUGAGACUCUUUCAGAGCGAAAUGAGCACCUUUCAAGGCUUUGUGGGCCUUGUCAAGUAUGUCAAACUCUUCUUUGAGUCUGUCACGGCCAACCUCAAGAGCAUACUUUUCAGAUUUAAGCAUGCGAGUAAGAACAACAUCAUGAUCUAGUUUCUUUUGCAUUUUAGUGCAGUCAUCGUUAUAUGACUCCUCAAGAGCCAAACGAAGAGUGCGCUCUUCUUCUAGAGUACUAGAUAAUUCGGCAAUUUCAUCGGCAUAGUCACGGCUAUGUCCAUGAAGCUCGGAGAUGGUCUCCUCAUGAGACUCAAUGAGGUCAGUGGCCUCACCCAGUUGUUCCAAGAGGGCAACAAAAUGCUUCUUGGUUUCUCCCUUAAUAGUGCAUAGAAACUUAUCAAGAUCAUGCUCAUUAAGUUCUCCAACAUCACUAUCUUCUACACAAUUUAACAAUGAAGGAGCAGAAGCAAUGUUGGUCUUAAUGAUAGGAGUUACCUGAUUGGUACCUUUUGCCAUGAGGCACUUGGUGAUGUGGUUCUCGUUGGGGGCGUUGAAGAGAGACACCUUCUGGGAAGGGGUAGUGGCUAUAGCAACAGUUGUUGUUGCCACUGUAUCAUCACAUCAGAAGGAUACUCCUCCAGGGCCACCAUUCCUUUUGGGUGAGGUUUCUUCACAAAGUUGUUCUUGAUUGGAAAUGAUUUGGUUUUGUCUUUGCGAAUGAGCUUGCCUCCGUUGUCUUCUCUCUUCUCAUAGGGGCAUUCUGCCACGAAGUGACUCACGUUGCCACAGUUAUAACAUGUCCUUACUCGUUGUUUGGGUUUGAAUCCACUAGAGUUGUUCUUGUUGAAGGUUGGUCUUGCGUUCCUUUUAUUUCCCCAGAAUUGCCUUGAUGCAAGAGCCAUGUGCUCAUGACAGGCAUACUUUGUGUCUUCCGGGCAGCUCUCCUCUUCCUCAUAUUCUUCUUCUUCUUCAAGCAUUGCUCUUGCUUUCAACGCAAGUUUGGGUGAAGUGGUUUUUGAUCGGACACGAGCAAGUGCAUUGUCGGCUGUUUCGUUCAUGAUUGACAUUGCAAUGAACUCAUCCAACACUUCACUGGAAGACAAGGAGUGGAAGUCUGGCCGCUGACGAAUGACAGAUGACAUGGCUUUAUUGAAAGGCAUGAUGGCUUUGAGAAACUUGCGCUUGACCCAAGUGUCAUCCACAUCCUUACUCCCAUGGUCCUUUAGUGCCACAGCAAUAUCCGUCACCCUCCGAUAGAGAUCACGAGGGUCCUCUUCUUCCUUCAUCACAAACUCAUCGGCCUGAUCAAGUAUCACUUCAUAGUUGGAUCAUUGAAUACUUGAGCUUCCCUUUUACAACACCAUAAUAUGCUCCCAACAAUCCUUGGCCAAUGUGAAGGGACGUAAGUGGGGAAGAUCUUCAGGUGGCACAACAGACUGGAGAAUAAACAGCGCAGAGUGAUUAUAUUGAAUGUCUGCAUCUUCUGUUGGAGUGAGGUUGCUUGGGUCAUGGGGGUAAUAUCCUUGCUCGAUAAUUCUCCACAAGUUUGUUGAGCCGUGAUUCAAAUGAGACUUAAUAGAAAAUACCCAGUUAGCAAAGUCACCUUUUACAAGUUUAGGAGGAGGACCAACAGGAUUAAGACGAGGUGCGAGAACGGGUCCUCCAUAUGUCAUGGGAGGUGGAACCGAAGCAUGUGUUCCCGUUCCAUCUUUUUCGUGAGGUGAAGCAGGUUGCAUACCUUUAGCCGCUUCCUUAGAGGAGUUGGCCUUCGAAUCGGAAAUGGUGGGUUUAACCACUAAAGCCGGUUUGGGUGAACUUUUAAGACCCUCAAUUAAUUCUUUAAGCAUGGUUUUGACUUCGCUCGUCAAGGACGUCUUGAGGGCGGCCAUAGCCGUAUUCAAGUCGUCCCUUGUGACCGAAGUCAAGUCCAUGUCCUCGGGUUGCCCACGGUUAACUUCCUCUCCGCCUUCCAUACUCUUCGGGUGGUUAAACCCUUAAUAAAGAGACGUGGCUCUGAUACCAAUUGAAAGGAUCGAUAUGGUUGGCUAGAGGGGGGGGAGGGUGAAUAAACAACGACCACUUUUUAAUUAAUCUUAACAAGUUAAGCUAAACACUAUACGGGUUCACAAAUAAUAUGACAAAGAGGUGACCCCUAUAGAAGCUACCAUCAAGUCCUAUUAAGACAAGUAAGAUAUAGUCACAUGUAAAAGCAAAUACAAAGUAAAGGUUAGAGAUAACCACAAGUGGAACCGAUGGAGACGAGGAUGUGUUACCGAAGUUCCUUCCCUUUGACAGGAAGUACGUCUCCGUUGGAGCGGUGUGGAGGCACAAUGCUCCCCAAAAAGCCACUAAGGCCACCGUAUUCUCCUCACGCCCUCGCACGAUGCAAGGUACCGUGAUUCCACUAUAGGUGCCCUUGAAGGCGGCGACCAAACCUUUACAAACAAGGUUGGGGCAACUCCACACAAAGCUUGGAGGCUCCCAACAAGACCACGAAGCUUCACCACAAUGGAAUAUGGCUUCGAGGUGACCUCAACCGUCUAGGAUGCUCAAACACCCAAGAGUAACAAGAUCCGCAAGGGAUAGGUGGGGGAAUCAACUUUUCUCUUGGUGGAAGUGUGGAUCUAGGCCUUCUCAACCAAUCCCUAAAGAAUCAACAAGUUUGAUUGGCUAGGGAGAGAGAUCGGGCACUUUUAAGCUUGUGGAGCAACAAUGGAGCUUAGAGAGGUAAGAGAUAGGGUUCCUCAGCUAGAAGAACCCUUUAUAUAGUGGGGGGGGGGAAAUCAGACCGUUUUCCCACUCUCUGCCCGAGAUCCAGCAGUACUACCGCUGGGAAGGAGCGGUACUACCGCUGGGGCUUCCAACGGUACUACCGCUGGCCCCUUGGUAGUGCAUAAGCACUACUACCGCCGGGAAAGUCUUCGCAAAAGGGUCCGUCCACGAACUACCGCUAGGUAGGUGGAACAAGGCACCUGGAGCGGUACUACCGCUGACCAGGGGGCGGUACUACCGCUGGCUAGCGGUACUACCACUGUCAAGUGGCGGUACUACCCCUGGCACCAGCGGUACUACCGCUGGGGACCAUUUUGCAGAGAUGCUCAAGACGAAUUAGGCGAGGGCCGCUCCAAACAAGGAAGGGGAGAAUUGUGAAGUGUGCGUGUGUAAAGAUAGAUUCCACCCAAACCUUUCCACUACGGAUCUCCUCUUAAUAGUACGGCUUUCCUAUGACUCUAAUAAAGAGAAUCGUAGAGAGCGCCGUGUUUCCGUUCCAGAAGAGAGGAGACGAGUUGUCGUGUGCCGUUGACGAGUGUUACCUGAAACCUUGACACACACGAUUAGUCCUGUACGGUACUGUCAUCAAUCACCAAAAUUACUUAGGCAUAAACUAUGCCUCAACACAGUCUUUUCCAGAAUCAGUUUAAUCUCUCUAUUACUUAGCUCUACUUGACCACUGGACUGAGGGUGAUAGGGAGACGUAAUUCUAUGGUAGACAUCGUACUUAGCAAGCGUUUUAUGGAAAGCACCAUGAAUGAAGUGUGAACCACCGUCGGUCAUUAGAUAUCUAGGGACUCCAAAUCUAGGGAAGAUAACUUCUUUCAGCAUCCUGAUAGAGGUGUUGUGAUCAGCACUACUAGUGGGGAUAGCUUCUACCCACUUAGUGACGUAAUCAACAGCAACUAAGAUGUGAGUAUACCCAUUGGAUUUUGGAAAAGGUCCCAUAUAAUCAAAGCCCCAAACAUCAAAUGGUUCAAUGACAAGUGAAUAGUUCAUAGGCAUUUCCUCACGUUUGCUAAUAUUACCUAUUCUCUCACAUUCGUCACAAAACAAGACAAACUUACGGGCAUCCUUGAAGAGAGUGGGCCAAUAGAAACCUGAUUGCAAUACCUUGUGUGCAGUUCUAUCUCCCGCAUGGUGUCCUCCGUAGGCCUCGGAGUGACACUUCUGUAGGAUCUGUCCAUGUUCAUGUCCAGGUACACAACGUCUAAUAACACCAUCUACUCCUUCCCUAUAAAGGCGAGGAUCAUCCCAGAAGUAAUGUCUCAAGUCAAAGAAGAAUUUCUUCUUUUGCUGGUAUGUGAAACUAGGUGGUAUAUUUUGGGCAACGAUAUAGUUUGCACAAUCAGCAUACCACGGUGCACUACGUGAAGCAUUGAUGACAUUCAAUUGCUCAUCGAGAAAGCUAUAUAUCAUCAAUAGGUUGUGGGUCAUCAAGAACGUUCUCCAACCUAGACAAGUUAUCUGCUACUGGGUUAUCAACACCCUUUCUGUCGACAAUGUGCAAAUCAAAUUCUUGUAGCAAGAGAACCCAUCUCAUAAGUCUAGGUUUAUCGUCUUUCUUCUCCAUGAGGUACUUCAUAGCAACAUGAUCAGUGUGAAUAGUGACUUUGGAAUCAAGUAUGUAAGACCUGAACUUUUCACAUGCAAACAUGACUGCUAAAAAUUCCUUCUCCGUAGUGCAUAGUUUCUUUGGGCACUGUCUAGAGUUUUACUAGCGUAGUGAAUAACAUUCAACUUCUUAUCGACUCUUUGCCCUAGAAUAACACCAACAGCAUAAUCACUAGCGUCACACAUGAUCUCAAAAGGUAAGUUCCAAUCAGGUGAUUGAACAAUAGGUGUAGUUAUCAAAGCCCUCUUAAGUAUUUCGAAAGCUUCCUCACAAUCAUCGGCAAAAACAAAAGGAAUAUCCUUUUGCAAGAGAUUGGUAAGAGGCCUAGAAAUCUUAGAGUAGUCUUUAAUGUACCUUCUAUAGAAACCAGCAUGACCAAGGAAACUUCUUAUUCCUUUGAUAUCUGUGGGGUAUGGCAUUUUCUUGAUUACAUCAACCUUAGCCUUAUCGACUUCAAUACCUCUUUUAGAAAUUUUAUGUCCUAAGACGAUGCCUUCAUUAACCGUAAAGUGGCACUUCUCCCAAUUCAAGACAAGAUUGGUGUCUUUACAUCUCUGCAAGACUCGAUCAAGGUUGCUGAGGCAAUCAUCAAAGGAAGACCCGUAAACAGAGAAGUCAUCCAUGAGAACUUCGACAAUCUUUUCACAAAAGUCAGAGAAUAUAGCCAUCAUGCAUCUUUGAAAGGUGGCAGGUGCAUUACAUAAGCCAAAAGGCAUACGUCUAUAAGCAAAGGUAACGAAAGGGCAGGUGAAAGUGGUUUUCUCCUGAUCAGAUUGUGCAACUGGUAUUUGGGAGAAACCAGAAUAGCCGUCUAGAAAGCAGAAGUGUGUGUGUUUGGACAACCUUUCUAGCAUUUGGUCGAUAAAAGGCAAAGGGUAAUGAUAUUUCCUAGUGGCUUUAUUCAGUUUCGUAAAGUCUAUCACCAUCCUAUAGCCAGUAAUAAUCCUCUGUGGGAUCAAUUCAUCCUUAUUAGGGACAACGGUAAUGCCUCCCUUCUUAGGAACGCAAUGCACUGGACUCACCCAAUCGCUGUGAGCAACAGGAUAAAUGAUACCUGCUUCCAGGAGCUUUAGUAUUUCUUUUCUCACUACUUCUUUCAUCUUAGGAUUUAAUCUCCUUUGAUGAUCAGCAACUGGUUUGAAGUCAGGAUCAGUUUUAAUCUUGUGCUGGCACAGAGUAGGACUAAUGCCCUUAAGAUCAUCAAGAGUAUAUCCAAUAGCAGCACGGUGCUUCCUCAGAGUUUUUAGUAACUUCUUUUCUUCAUGCUGUGAGAGGCUGGCACUAAUAAUGACAGGAUAUAUCUCCUUUUCAUCAAGAUAGGCAUACUUAAGAGUAUCAGGCAACUGUUUAAGCUCGAACACAGGAUCACCCUUUGGUGGGGGUGGAUCCCCAAGCAGUUCAACACGCAAGUUAUUCUUAAGGAUAGGAUAUUGUUCUAAGACAACUCUAUCUAUAUCAUCCCUUUCAUCCAUAUGCAUAUCAUUUUCAUGCUUAAGCAAGUAUUGCUCUAAGGGAUCAGUGGGAGGCACAACAAUAGAGGCUAAGGCAAUAGUUUCAUCCCUACUAGGCAACUCCUUUUCAUGAGGUUGUCUACCAAACUUAGAGAAAUUGAACUCAUGUGACACACCUUCAAGCCAAUAGUGACAGUUUGCUUCUCACAGUCAAUAUGAGCAUUGACAGUAUUGAGGAAGGGUCUGCCAAAUAUGAUGGGACAAAAGCUAUCUUGUGUGGUAGCAAGAACGAGGAAAUCAGCAGGAUACUUUGUUUUACCACAAAAGACUUCAACAUCCCUAACAAUUCCCACAGGGCAGAUAGUAUCUCUAUUGUCAAGCUGAACAGUGACAUCAAUAGGCUCUAUCUCAAUAGGUGCAAUCUCAUCUUUGAUUUCAUCGUAUAAGGAUUGAGGUAUUGCACUAACACUAGCACCCACGUCACAUAAGCCAUGAUAACAAUGAUCUCCUAUCUUAACAGAAACCAUAGGCAUGCCAACAAGAGGCCUAUGUUUGUCUCUAACGUGAGGUUUAGCAAUUCUAGCAGCAUCUUCAUAGAAGUGAAUAUUAUGUCCCUCAACAUCGCCGGACAGAAGAUCUUUGAUAAUAGCAAUGCUAGGUUCAACUCUAAUUUGCUCAGGGGGUGUAGGUGUUCUAAUAUAGCCUCUACGUAUCACAGUUGAAGCUUUAGAAUGAUCCUUUAUCCUAACAGGGAAAGGUGGUUUCUCAAUGUAAGCACUGGGAACAAUAGGAUCAUUAUAGGCAAUGACUUUCUCUUCAACUGGAUUGGGUUUAACUACAUUGACUUCUAACGGAGGAUGAUAUUUAAACCAUUUCUCUUUGGGGAGAUCGAUAUGAGCAGCAAAUGAUUCACACAAUGAAGCUACUAUCUCAGAGUCAAGUCCAUACUUAGCGCUAAAGUCACAAAAAGUAUUUGUCUCAACAAAGGAUUUAACACAAUCAAACGUGAAAUUCAUACCUGACUCCUCACCUUCUUCAAGCUCCCAAUCUUCAGAGUUGCGUUUAGUUCUCUCAAUAAAUUACAUUUGAAUUCAAUAUCUCUCUUCAUAAAAGAACCGGUACAAGAAGUGUCAAGCAUGGUACAAUCAUCGUGAGAAAGCCGAGCAUAGAAAUUCUGAAUGAUCAUUUCUCUCGAGAGCUCAUGAUUGGGGCAUGAAUAUAGCAUUGAUUUAAGCCUCCCCCAAGCUUGAGCGAUGCUUUCUCUGUCACGAGGCCAAAAAUUGUAAAUAUAAUUCCGAUCACGAUGUACUAAAUGCAUAGGAUAAAACUUUUGAUGAAAUUCCAAUUUCAACCGAUUGUAGUCCCAUGAUCCAGUGUUAUCACAUAGUCUAUACCAUGUCAACGCCUUAUCCUUCAAAGAUAAAGGAAAGACCCUCUUCUUGACCUCAUCCUCGGGAAAACCUACAAGCUUAAAUAAACCACGAACUUCAUCUACAUAGAUUAGAUGCAAGUCUGGAUGUGAUGUUCCAUCUCGUGUAAAAGGAUUAGCCAGCAGUUUCUCAAGCAUACCCGAAGGAAAUUCAAAGCAAAUAUUUUUAGUAGGUGCAGUCAGGUUGAGGAGCAACUCUUUGUGCUUCCGUUCGAGGUGAAGAUACCCCGAACAAGCCCCUCAAAGGAUUAGUAUCCAUAGUGACAAGUGACAAUAAAUUUCAGCACACUAUAUGAAUGUUUCCUUACCAAGUUCCACUUACCAAAGGCGCUUCACUCCCCGACAACGGCGCCACAAAAGAGUCUUUAUGACCCACAAGUUUAGGGUAUCAAUCAUAGUCCUUUCGAUAAGUAAGAGUGUCGAACCCAACGAGGAGCAGAAGGAUCUGACAAGUGGUUUUCAAUAAGGAAAUAUCUGCAAGCACUGAAAUUGUCGGUAACAAGUGAUUGUGUGGUGAGAAGAUUCAUAGCGAGUAACAAGUAACAAAAGUAGCAACGGUGCAGCAAAGUGGCCCAAUCCCUUUUGUAGCAAAGGGACAAGCCUGGACAAAGUCUUAUAGGAGGAAAAAUGCUUCCGAGGACACACGAGAAUUUCUGUCAUGCUAGUUUCAUCAUGUUCAUAUGAUUCGCGUUCGUUACUUUGAUAGUUUGAUAUGUGGGUGGACCAGCGCUUGGGUACUUCCCUUACUUGGACAAGCAUCCCACUUAUGAUUAACCCCUCUCGCAAGCAUCCUCAACUACGAAAGAAGAAUUAAUACAAAGUCUAACCAUAGCAUUAAACUAGUGGAUCCAAAUCAACCCCUUACGAAGCAACGCAUAAACUAGGGUUUAAGCUUCUGUCACGCUAGCAACCCAUCAUCUACUUACUACUUCCCAAUGCCUUCCUCUAGGCCCAAAUAAUGGUGAAGUGUUAUGUAGUCAACGUUCACAUAACACCACUAGAGGAAAAACAACAUACAACAUAUCAAAUUACCGAACGAAUACCAAAUUCACAUGACUACUAUUAGCAUGACUUAUCCCAUGUCCUCAGGAACAAAAGUAAUUACUCACAAAGCAUAAUCAUAUUUAUGACCAGAGAGGUAAUGAGUAGCAUCAAGGAUCUGAACAUAAACUCUUCCACCAAAUAAUCCAACUAGCAUCAACUACAAAGAGUAAUCAACACUACUAGCAACCUUACAAGUACCAAUCGAAGUCGCGAGACAGAGAUUGGUUACAAGUGAUGAACUAGGGUUUGGAGAUGAGAUGGUGCUGAUGAAGAUGUUGAUGAUGAGUUGCUGAUGAAGAUGGCGACGAUUUCCCCCUUUGGGAGGGAAGUUUCCCGGUAGGAUCGUCCUGCCGGAGCUCUAGACUGGUUCUUCUCAAGUUCCGCCUCGUGGCGGCGGCGAAUCCACGAAAAAGCUCCUCCCCAAUUUUUUCCUGGACGAAACCCUUCAUAUAGCAAAAGAGGGGGGCAAGUGGGACAACAGGCUGCCGACAAGCCCUCAUGGCGCGGCCUGGGGGGGCUGCCGCGCCGUGCAGGCUUGUGGCCACCUGCACGCGCCCCUCUCGCACUUCUUCGGCCCAGUAUUUUUGAUAAAUCAGGAAAAACAUCCUCGUUGAUUUUUAUGGCGUUUGGAGUUGCGCAGAAUAGGUAUCUCAACUUUGCUCCACUUUCAGACCAGAAUUCCAGUUGCCGGCAUUCUCCCUCUUCAUGUAAACCUUGCAAAAUAAGAGAGAAAAGGCAUAAGAAUUGUACCGUGAAGUGAAAUCACAGCCCAAGAAGCGAUAAAUAUCAACAUGAAAACAUGAUGCAAAAUGGACGUAUCACACCCCUGCAGGGUUAAAUCUUUCGGAAAGCCGUGCCCGUGGUUAUGUGGCAACGUGGAAACUUUGUUUAACACUGGUUCUAGAUAACUUGAAGUUAACUUAAUUAAAAUAUGCCAACUGAGUGCGUAACCGUGACUGUCUCUUUCGUGAGUUCCUUCUCUGAUCGAGGACAUGGUGGGGUUAUGUCUGACGUAGUAGGUGUUCAGGAUCAUUCAUUUGAUCAUCAGUAGUUCACGUCUGUUAUGCGUAGGUCAUCCCCCUCUUUAUUCUUGUACUCGUAAGUUAGCCACCUUAUAUACUGCUUAGUCGCUUGCUGCAGCCUCGCCACUUAACCAUACCUCACCUAAUAAGCUUUUCUAGUCUUGAUACCUUUGGAAAUGAGAUUGCUGAGUCCCAUGUGGCUCACAGAUUACUACAACACCAGUUGCAGGUACAUGUAAAGGUUACUUGACGCGAGCGUGUUGAUUGUUCAUUUGGAGUUGCUUCUUCUUCUUCAUCGAUCUAGGAUGGGUUCCAGGCUGGCAGCCUGGGAUAGAAAGGAUGGACGUCAUUCUUUUCUCGUUUGUUUUCGUGAGUAGUCGGACCCUGCUCUUCUUCAUGAUGUUUAUGUAUUGUACUGAUGUGACUCUGAUGUAGCUUGUGGCGAGUGUAAGCCAAUUCCAUAUACUCUUCUCUUCAGUACAUGUACUUGUAAUGAUAUCCAUUCUUGCGAAACUACUAGAUGCCCUCCUAUCCCUGACGAGGCCCUCGUGCCAAAUUGAGGAUAUGAUCGCAUCUUCGGCGUUACAAGUUGGUAUCAGAGUAGUACCGACCUAGGAGCCCCCUUGAUUGAUCGAACUUGGCCGAGUCGAGUCUAGUGAAAACUGUUUUGAGUCUAGUUAUAUAUCAGAGAGUAUGAUUCUUUUUUCUCCUCUUCUAUGCUCUGGUGAGGAAUCUUGACGUAAUAUUUUAAUUCUACUCCUCUUCUCACUCAAUUUUUUUUAGGAUCACGCGGAUAUUUUUGGAAUCUAUAUGAUUUCGAUGUGACAGAGUUCUGUCUUGGUGCCUCCUGUCUGACUUGAUUUCUUCCGGGGAGUUGAGCUCCACGGGAUUCUCGAGCACAUCAUUAUCAUUCAGAUUUCUUAAUAUCUCAGGACGAAGGAUGUUCGAAAUUGCUUCAAUACUAGUAGUGGCGAGAGGAGUCCGGCUUCCCCAGUACUGAUGCAGAGAGUUCUGGAUGUAUUGCCAUACUUUGUAUCGUUGUGAUUACGAGUGUCUGAGAUAGAUGAAGUUCUGAGAUUCUGGUUAUGAUUUGACGGAUGUGAUACACUGGACGGGUUAGUAUAGGAGUUGAGUGAUAUAUUACUCCUUGUAUCCGUGGACCAGAUUACAUGACUUGAAAUUUUGGGAGUUCUUAGGUUGGCUUUCAAGUAGUUGCUUAUAGGACAAUCUUCCAACAAAUGCAUGAUGUUAGGUUGGGGUUCGACAUCUAGUGGAUUCGUUUGUUCACGUUCGACUUACAGCGGUUCUCGUUGUGUCUUAAAGAGUCCUUGUAGCUUGCUACGACUCGGGGACGCUUCGUAUGUCGUGUGCACUGCCUUGCACAGAAUGGCUACUGUAAGGAUCGAGCCCGUGCGAUCCUGUCCACGAAAAUUUCGAGCGAAAUCUCUCUCAUGAAUUCGUUUUGGCUUGUUUCGUAAGCCUCACCAUUUUGUUUUGUUGGCAUAUGGUAAUUCGAGUUGCUUCGGUGUCAAAUGGUGAUUUCAUAUCUUUUUUCUAAGACAUGUUCUCAUAUUCUUAUGAGAAUGCAAAUUCUUUUCCUCAGUCAAGUUGUCUUAUCAAUUCUUGUCAACCGGAGUCGUUAUAUCAAUUCUUUUCCAACCAAUGUGCUUCUCUUCAGUGAAUUCAAUCCUCUCCAAUAUUUGCAAGAUCAAUCUCUCUUUUAUUUCCGGAGUUGUCUCAUCUGUCUCAAGUUGUCUUUGUUUUCCCCGCCCUCCCACCCUUUUUUUUCAAUGAGUUAAUUGUCAUUCAAGAGUUUUUUCUUUUCAUUGUUUCUUCCGCUAUCUUUUCUUCCGUGUCCUAUCUGGUGAUUCAUAGUGAAGAUUCUCAGGAGCUUCGUGUUCAUAUUUCUUCAGUCUUGCUAUCUUUUCUAGUGAAUUCAGUUCAAGCUAUCCGUGUUCCUCAUAUCCUUUCAUCCUUUAAAUUCUUUCCUGUGUGGAAAAUUCUUAUCAAGUCUUUUUGUUAUCAUUUCUCUCUAUUCUAUCCGGAAUGUUGAAGUUACCUCAGAAGUUUCUUGCCUUCAAUUCUUUUAAUUAUUUCGAGGCACUAACCUCACCAAGUUUUCUUUUUACCGGUGCAAUAUCUCUCUUCUAAGCAAUCUUUUCAAUGGUGGUUUCUUUUGAGUGGGCCCAUAACCCACAGGUUCUUUCCCAGGAUCUUAUCUGGCUCUUGUUAUCUUUCCGGAGUUCUCUUAUUCUUUUUAAGUGUGAUGUAAGAAUGGUUUUCAUCAGUCAUAUUCCUUCUUCAAGAUUGCUUCAAAUUUAUUUUUGUCAUUGGCUCAACUUUUCCUUGUAUUUAUUCCGGAGUGUCUCAUUAAUUCUCGGUGGUGUUCUCCUCAUCAUUUUCAGCUUGGAAGACCGAAGGGGUGUUUCUCUCAAAUCUUGGUUCAGUCUCUUGCAGUUUGUAAUAUCAGCUUUGUGUUAUCUUCUCAAUUGUUGUCAAUUAUGAGUAUCCCUUUCUUGCUAUCCGGUGCUUUUUUGAGUUGUUUCGUUUAUCGGUCCUCUGAAGGCUGUCAUUUCAGAAGAUUCUUCGUUCUCAGCUUUCAGCUUUCAUCCUCAAUUCUUCUCAAUUGUUGUCUCUUCGUUCGUCUCUCAAUUAUUUGGGUGCCUUGUUCAGUUUUCUCUCAGGUGGCUCAUGAUCUCUUCAUUCUCAUGUAUCUCCAUUCAUUCUUGUCAUAUCCCCAUUCAAUCCAAUUCUUACCGGUGUCUCCUUCAAGACUCAUCAAGUUUGUGCUCAUAUAUCUUCUCAAUCAUUUGUAAAAGAAUAAGUCGUACGCUGAAUCCGUUGCUUGUCAUCAAUUAAACUUUAUGAAGGAUAAGCAUAACAUAAUUAUUAUUCGUGUUUCAUAGUGAUUUCAAUUAUUCUGCCGGAGUGGCUCAUGAUAUCAAUUCUUUGUCUCAAGGUGUUCUUCAAGAUUCUUGUGGUAGUAGUUCUCAUUUUGUUCUUCGUUCCCUCUUUCCAAGAUCUAGUUUAUAUUCUCUUGUUCCAGAGUUGUGGUGAUGUUGCUCAUUUGGGUCAAUCAUGUUGCUCUAUAAAGAUCAUGGUGUUCCCUCGUUCUAUUUAGUUGUUUGUCGUGAAUCUUGUCUAGUUCUCCCAUCUUAUCGAAUUUUUGUCCCUUUUCCUACCGAAGUGCUGCCGAAAUUUUAUGUGAAUUCUUGCUUUUUCCUCAUAUCAUUCCUCAUCUCUUUGUAACCUUCAAGGAUCGUUGGUUUCACUUGUUUGUCAAAGAAGCAACUAAGUUUUACCUCUUGCGUUCUCAUCCUCUCCCCCUUUCAUUCUUGGAUCUCGGGUCGAGAUCCUCUUGUAGUGUAGGAGAGUUGUGACAGCCCAAGACCGACGUUCCAGAAGAUUCCCCCUUAUCUACGUUUUCGUCGGGUGGCUUAUUUUAUUUGUCGCAUCAUCAUCGCAUCAUCCGCAUUGCAUCGGCAUCCCGUUGCCGCCAGUUUUCAAAACUUGCAUCCGUUGUUAGUUGCCGGUUCGCGUCGUUGUUCAUUCUGAGCCCGACCACACUCGUACGCGCCCGCGACAUCGUUCAAAUCUUGUUUUUAAAGUGUGUAUAAAACUUUCUCUGAUUAUGUUGAAACUUGGCAUGCGGUCUUAAUAUAUUAUAGGUAGGCCGCGUGCCAAUUUUCGUCGCAAUCGGAGUCCGUCUGGUACCCGAACAGUCGAACGUAUUUGGUCUAUCGUCGGACGUUUUAUCGGUGUUUUAAAAUACGUUGUCGGGUACCCAUUUUCCCUCUUAUCCCCACCUAGCCUACUCUACACAGCUAACCCUAACCCGCCUCUCCGAUCGGACCGUACGAUCGCGAUCGGAGGGUCGAAAAACCCCCNNNNNNNNNNNNNNNNNNNNNNNNNNNNNNNNNNNNNNNNNNNNNNNNNNNNNNNNNNNNNNNNNNNNNNNNNNNNNNNNNNNNNNNNNNNNNNNNNNNNNNNNNNNNNNNNNNNNNNNNNNNNNNNNNNNNNNNNNNNNNNNNNNNNNNNNNNNNNNNNNNNNNNNNNNNNNNNNNNNNNNNNNNNNNNNNNNNNNNNNNNNNNNNNNNNNNNNNNNNNNNNNNNNNNNNNNNNNNNNNNNNNNNNNNNNNNCGGCCUGCUCCAGCCAGCGACCAGGCCGGCCUCCACAGCGCCUCCAGCGGCCCAUCCGCAGCGCCCCGACCGGCCCAGCAAGCCGGCCUCCUCCCCAAGCCCCCGCCGAACCAGGCCGACCCAUGGUGAGCAGCUUCACCCCGAGCCCCUGUAUAUGUCGCCCUGGGCGUCUGAUAGGUGUCUUGCGCCAUAGAUUCGGCCCGUUAGUGAUUUGUUUUAGGUUUUAGGAUUUAAUUAUUUUUCACGAAUAUAUAGAUAUUUCAACGCCCGUAAUUAUUUAACCGUCUAUCAGAUCGCGAAGAUUUAUAUAUGUAACUUGUGUAGUUUUCCACGUAGAUUAAUAAUUUGGAAUUUGCAUGCAUGUUUGAAUUAGUUUCACCCGCUGAAUGCCUAGAAACGCGUGCUGUCCUAUUAUGUUUUUGUCCCGUAUUUAUUUUCAUGCGUGUUCGAAUUGCUCAAACUCCGUAGGUAAAAUGCUCAUGUUUUAGGAACCCUUUUGCCAUGUAUUUUAGAGUAGUUGUUUGUAUUUUAGCAUACAAGAUUCCGUCGCUAGUUUAUUAUAACGUGCUUAGGACAUAUUCGCGCAUAUACGUGUGGCGUUGUUUUUAUUUUGCAACCCCACAUGUUAUAUAUGUUUUCAGGGUAGAAAAAUCCAUAGAAUUUAACUGUGCAUUUAGUUUUAGCUUUUGCGUAAGUCAGUGUGCGUGAUAUUUUGCCAUGUUGCCCUUUUGUUUAUUUUGUGGGAUUUAAUCCGUCCUUGAUAUGAAGGAGUUGUCAACUAGAGAUAUGCCCUUGGAUGUGUAGGCUAGCCCCUGGUAAUUUUGGUUUUAAUAGAAAUCCAUGUUUAGGUGUGGUUUGCUUGUUUUCAACUUGCUAGGAAAUAGUGCUGAUUUGGAGAUGCUGAAAUAUUUCUAAGUAUGAAUCUGUUAUAUUUUGUUGUUGUCUUGUCAUGAGUUUAUCUGGUGAUCUAUAGCUCUUUUGAGCUUGGUGCAAUGGAGUUAGUUGUAGACUUUAGGAUUCUCUAGCAUGCUGUCAAUUUUCAUGCCAUUUGGAGUCCUGUAGCUUAUGGUUUUGCUUCUGUCAAUAUGCCUUCAGAUCGAAAACUGCACUUUCAUAAACUAUGGUUUUCACUAAGUCUGAAACAGUGUGUGAGAUGCCAUUUUGUGACUUCUUUUCCUUGUGAUCCAUGCUUCCGUGCUAGGUGUUAUUAGUUGUAUGUUGUAGUGCUUCUUGCCCUCUAUUGUCUCAUGCCUUGUCUGAGAAAUUUCGAUUUGUGUAGCUCGUAGUUGUGGGGUGUAGAAAAUGCUAUGUGGCUGAUUUUGGCAGAUUGUAGUGUUUUCUUGUUUAGCUCGUAGUUGUUGAACCUUUGCUCUGUUUUGAUCAUGUCCUAUAUGAAACUUGCUUAGAAUCUCGUGUAGUUUCAUUUUAUCUUGCUGGUUGUAUGUCGUCAUAUCUUGCGGUGUUCGUAUCUUUUGAACCGUAGCUCCGUUGGAGAUGUUCUAUAUGUGAAAAUUUCUUGUAACGACGCGUAGAAUCACGGGAAUCUAUUUGUUUUGCUGUUUAACAAACAUUUAAAAGUGUUAGUUCAGAUCUGGACAGAAUUACAAAUUAACGUAUGUGGUCAUCUCGGAGGUGCUAUAUGUCAUUUCCGACCUCAUUUAAAAUGCCUAGAUAGGUAGUUUAAUUACGCUUCACCUCUUGCCAUGUUUAACGACAUUUAAUAUUGCCGUGUACCUAAUCGGGAUAGAACUUAAUAAUCCGUAUGUGGAGUUUCGUCAAUAUGCAACUCGUUGCAUAUUGAACUUCUCUUAAUGUGUAGUGUUGAUUGUUGUGAAUUGUCAAGCCAUGUCUUGCAUAUAUUCAGCUGUUCAUGCAUCAUAUGUGUUGUGCGUCGUGUGGUGGAUAUUGUGUGUUGAUUCUUGUUUCCGGUUUCCUUCGUCUCGAUAGAGUUCCGCAAGCGUGUCAGAAAGUGAGGACCCGUUCGACUACGUCGGUUCGUCUGCUUCACGGAGUCGUUCUUCUUCCAAGCGGGAUCUCAGGCAAGAUGACCAUUUCCCCAAAUACCAUUACUAUCAUUGCCAUGCUAGUAUUAUCGUUUCUGUCUCUAUGUCUCGUUGCCUACCACCUGUUAAAUAUUAGCCUCUCAACAUUGCCAUGAAAACAUUCAACCUGUUCACAACCUAGCAAACCACUGAUUGGCUAUGUUACCACUUGCUUAACCAUGAGUUAGCGUUGCUAGUUGCAGGUGCAGUUGCUUCCAUGUGAUAACAUGGGUUCUUUGUUAUAUCACCCUAUUAAAUGAUAUUUAAUUUAAUGCACAUAUAUACUUGGUAAAAGGUGGAAGGCUCGGCCUUUCUAGCCUAGUGUUUUGUUCCACCUUUGCCCCCUUAGUUUUGGCUACCAGUGUUAUGUUCCAUAAUUGAGCCGUCCUAACAUGAUCGGGGUUGUUAUGGGGACCCCCUUGAUAAUUCGUUUUAGAUUAAUGUUGGUCUGGAAAGGCCCAACAUUGGUACUAUAUUUGCCCAACAUAAUAAUUCUGUUAUUAUUGAAAUGCAUAGGGAGUUAGCGCUACCCGAGGAGUAAUUCAACAUAAUACAGGGGGGCCAGUGCUGUUGCUGCUGGUCCAAAAAUAGAUCCACUUGCGAGGCCACCCGAGGCAACUUGGGGGAUGUCUAUCCGGCCACCGUACAUAGUGCUUGAUACUGCGACAACAGUCCUUGCCUGGCAACGGUGCCAGGAAUCGUGCUGCUAUGGGCUACGCCUAUAGGGACUUCCUUGGCAAAUAUGCAAAGGAUUUCCCCGCGGCCUUGGAGCCUUGCGUUGGUGUUCCCUUGAAGAGGAAAGGGUGAUGUAGCACAGCGGCGGUAAGUAUUUCCCUCAGUUUGAGAACCAAGGUAUCGAUCCAGUGGGAGGAUCGCGUCAAGUCACAAGUAUGUGCACAAACACAAAGACCUUGCGCCCAACGCUAUGAAGGGGUUGUCAAUCCCUUAUAGAUUUGUUUACAAAGUGAGAACUGAAAGCAAAAAGGAAAACAAAGCAAAGUAAAAGUGAAAGUGGAGACGAUAGUUGUGAAUAGACCUUGGGGCCGUAGUGUUCACUAGUGGCUUCUCUCAUGAAAGCAAGUACACAGUGGGUGAAUGAAUUACUGUCGAGCAAUUGAUAGAACCUCGCAAAGUCAUGACGUUAUCUAUGGCAAUGAUUAUAUCUAUAGGCAUCAAGUCCAAAACAAGUAGACCGAUACUUUCUGCAUCUACUACUAUUACUCCACACGUCGACCGCUAUCCAGCAUGCAUCUAUUGUAUUAAGUUCAUAAGAACAGAGUAACGCCUUAAGCAAGAUGACAUGAUGUAGAUGGACAAUCUCAAAUCUAUGAUGAAAGCCCAUCUUGUUACCCUUGAUGGCAACAACACGAUGCGUGCCUUGCUGCCCCUUCUGUCACUGGGAAAGGUCACCGCACGGUAUGAUCCCAAAACCAAGCACUUCUCCCAUUGCAAGAAUCAUAGAUCUAGUUGGCCAAACAAAACCCAAGACUCGGAGAGACUUACAAGGAUAUCAAAUCAUGCAUAUAAGAAAUCAGCAAAGACUCAAAUAUAAUUCAUAGAUAAUCUGAUCACAAAUCCACAAUUCAUCGGAUCUCGACAAGCACACCGCCAAAGAGGAUUACAUCGGAUAGAUCUCCAUGAAGAUCAUGGAGAACUUUGUAUUGAAGAUCCAAGAGAGAGAAGAAGCCAUCUAGCUACUAACUACAGACCCGUAGGUCUGAAGUGGACUACUCACGAGUCAUUGGAGAGGCGAUGAUGUUGAUUUAGAAGCCCUCCAACUCCGAAGUCCCAUCCCGCAGGGUACCGGGAAGGGUCUCCAGAUGAUAUCUCACGGAAACGGGAACUUGCGGCGACGGAAAAGUGUUUUCGUGGAUGCCCUGAUUUUUUCUGGGAUUUUAGGGAAUAUAUAGGCGAAAGAGCUAGGGCAGGGGAGCUCCAGGGGGGCCGCAAGCCUGGUAGCCUCCGCCCCCCCUGGGGGUGGCUACAGGGCUUGUGGGCCCCCCGUGGCUCUCCUGCCUUGGCCCUCAAGUCCCCCGAUCUUCUUCUGUUCUAGAAAAAUUUAUUUCAGGGAUUUUAUUCCGUUUGGACUCCGUUCCAAAAUCAGAUCUGAAAAGAGUCAAAAACACAAAAAAACAGGAGCUGGCACUUGGCACUGAAUUAAUAAGUUAGUCCCCCAAAAGAUAUAAAAGGUAUAUAAAACAUCCAAAGUUGACAAGAUAACAUCAUGAAACCAUAAAAAAUUAUAGAUACAUUUGAGACGUAUCAAGCAUCCCCGAGCUUAACUCCUGCCCGUCCUCGUGUAGGGAAGUGAUAAAUAAUGGUUUUUUGAUGCUUUCAUGCUACCUAGCAUAGAUGUCCAUUGUAACUCCUCUUAUGUGACAUGAAUGUUCAGAUCCAUUAGAUUCAAAACAAUAGUUUGCUAUUGGUGUGGAGACAAUAGUACUUCAAGCAAACUAGCAAGGUAAUCACGAACUUUCAAAAUAACAAGGCCAAAAGAAAGUUAUCCCUACAAAAUCAUAUAGUCUGGCUAUGCUCUAUCAUGCUUGCACAACGAAUUUAAAUCAUGCACAACCUCGGUAUUGGCCAAGUAAUUGUUUUCACACUUUUAAUUUCUCAAACCUUUUCAACUCUCACGCAAUACAUGAGCGUGAGCCAUGGUUUUAGCACUAUAAGUGGAAUGGAGUGUGGUGGAGGUUGCAAGACAAACAAGGAGAAGAUGGUCACAUUAACUAGGCACAUCAAUGAGCUAUGGAGAUGCUCAUCAAUAGAUAUCAAUGUGAAUGAGUAGGGAUUGCCAUAUAAAUGAUGCACUAGAGCUAAGAGUAUGUGAAAGCUCUUAAAGAAAACUAGUGGGUGUGCAUCCAACUUGCUUGCACACGAAGACCUAAGGCAAUUUUGAGGAAGCCUAUCAUUGGAAUAUACAAGCCAAGUUAUAUAAUGAAAAUUUCCCACUAGCUAUAUGGUGGUGAAAAAACGAGAGACUCUCAAUCAUGAAGAUCAUGGUGCUUAAUAAGCACAAGUGUGGAAGGAUAGUAGCAUUGUCCCUUCUCUCUUUUUCUCUCAUUAUUUUNNNNNNNNNNNNNNNNNNNNUAUAUAUAUUUUUUUUGGUGGGCAUCUUUGGCCUAUUUUUGUAAAUGGGCUUCGCUGGCCUCUUUUAUUUCCUCACAUGGGACAAUGCUCCAUCAAUGAUGAUCAUCACACUUUCAACUCAAAACUUAGAGCAAUGAUGACUCUAUAUGGAAUGCCUUCGGUAGUGUACCGUGACAAUGAUCUAGCAUGGCAUAGACAUCAAUGGAAACAUCAUGCUAGCUAUCUUACGAUCAUGCAAUGGCAAUGUAGAAGUGGUGGCACAUGUCAUGGUGGUAGUUGCAUGGCAAUAUAUCUCGGAAUAGCUUUGAAAAAGCCAUAGUAGGUAGGUAUGGUGGCCGUUUUGAGGGAGGCUAAUGGUGGGUUUAUGCACGGGCGAAAGUUGCACGACACUAAAGAAGAUAAUGAUGGUGGAAGGUGAAAGUGCAUCUAAACCAUGGACUCAACAUUAGUCAUGAAGAACUCAUAUACUUGUUGCAAAAGUUUUAGUAGUAAUUGAAAUAAAGAAUUCAAGGCAUACUCCUAGGGGAAGGGUUGGUAGGUAUAAACCAUCGCGCGAUCCCGACCAGUACACAAAGGAUGACAAUCAAUAAACUAAUCAUGCUCAGACUUCAUCACAUAACGGUUCACCAUACGUGCAUGCUAUGGGAAUCACUAACUUUAACACAAUUAUUUCUAGAUCCAUAACACCAUACUAACAUAACUUAAAUAUUACCACAACCACAUCUCAAAACUAAUUGAGAGGAAUCAAACUUCUCUAACUAUUCAAUGCACAUGAAGAUGGAAGUUUUCAUAUCCCUUUGGAUAACUACCCCUUUUGAGACUACUAUCAUAGUAUAGAUCAACUACCAAGCCACGCGCUUCCAUGCUCUAAAAGAUAUAAGUGAAGCACAUAGAGAAAAAUCAACUAGCUCAAAAGAUAUAAGUGAAGCACAUGUGAGCUGAAUUGUCUAACCAAAGGAUAUAAGUGAAGCUCGACAAAAUCACGGUGAGUGCAUGUCUCUCUCUCUAGGUGUGCAGAAAGGAAGAUUGUGACACAACAAAAAUAAAAGACUCCUACAAUACAAGAUGCUCCAAGCAAAACACAUAACAUGUGGUGAAUAAAAAUAUAGCCCCAAGUAACAUUACCGAUGGAUUGAAGACGAAAGAGGGGAUGUCUUCCCGGGGCAUCCCCAAGCUUAGGCUUUUACGGCAUCCUGGAAUCAACUUGGGGUGCCUUGGUAAUCCCAAAGCUUGAGCUCUUACCACUCUUUAUCUCUUUGUCCAUAAGAACUUCACCCAAAACUUGAAAACUUCACAACACGAAACUUAAACAGAAACUCGUGAUAUCAUUAGUUUAAGAAAGCAAACCACCACUUCCUUAGGUACUGUAUUAAACUUAAAUUAUACUUAUGUUGAUGUUGGGUUACUGUAUUUUCAGUCUUCCAUGGCUAAUGCCCCCCGAUACUAUCCAUACUUUCGUCAAAAUAAUCAACCAACUCAACAAAAAACAGAAUCUGUUAACAGCAGACCAGUCUGUAGCAAUCUGUAUACUUCGUAUACUUCUGUUACUUCAAAAAUUCUGAAAAAUUAUGACAAUAUGAAGAAUUUGCAUAGCAGUCGUCAUAAAAAAGAAUCAACCCAAAAGAUGUUACAGAAAAAAAUGAAAAUUCUUUUCGUGAGCAGAAAGUUUCUGUAUUUUCCAGCAUGACCAAACGGUCAUCCCCAAGACUAAUCAUAAUGGUUUUACUUGGCACAUACGCAAAAAGAAACACAAAAAACACAAUCAUAACAGAAUUAUGAAAGUGUGGAAAACACAAAACAGAAAAAAAGGAUAGAUUCGUUGGGUUGCCUCCCAACAAGCACUAUUGUUUAACGCCCUUAGCUAGGCAUAAGGUGAUGGAAUCACGUAUAGUCAUCUUUGGUGCUCAAACCACAAGUAGCGUGAUCAUUUAUCGUCUUAAGAUCUUCAUCUUUAUUGGAUGACUCACCACUAGCUUUAGUAACAAAAACAGACUUGAUGGUCUUUUUGAGAGUGAGAUUUGGAGUAUUUUGCACAAUGGCAAAAGCGGAACCCAAGUUGGUUAUGACAUCUUCCAGUUUGCCAAUUCUAGAGGAAUCAUUAACUAUUGGUUCCUUCUCCCUUAAUUUUUUCAAAACCAUUCCCACUUUGGAUCCGUACUGAGUAAUUUGAUUGUGGAUCUUUCUAUCCAAACCCUCAAUAAGUUCAAUUGUGGCAAUUUUGUUUUCAAUAGCAUCAAGCCUUUGCAUCACGUGUUCCAAGGUCAAGGUAGUUCCAUUAACCAUGAGCGGGGGUGAGCCUACCAAAUUCAUGAUAGCUCCAUAAGAGUCAACAGUAUGGCUCCCCAAAAAAUUCCCGCCUACGAUGGUAUCAAGAAUAUACCUAUUCCAAGGAGAGAUUCCAACAUAAAAACUGCGAAGAAGAACGGUAGUGGAUUGCUUACGAAUAGAUCUACUGUGAGCAUUGCAAAUCCUAUACUAAGCGUCCUUUAAAUUUUCUUCCUCAUUCUGCUUGAAAUUGAGAACUUGGUCCUCAGGGGUAUCGUUUGGAGUGGUGGGUCUAGCCAUUGAAGGACUAUCCCACACACAAACGAGCAUGAAGAAAGUGAGUGAAACGGGCAAAAGAGUACGGCAAAAGGCAAAAGAAAACGGCAAAGGAAAACGACAAAAAGGCAAAUGAAAAUGGCAAGGGAGAAAGGCAAAUAAAAACGGCAAAGGAGGAAAGCAAAUGAAAACGGCAAAUGUGAAGUGGGGGAGAGGAAAACGAGAGGCAACUGGCAAAAAAGGUAAAUGCAAGAGAUGAGUUUGUGACACCUACUUCGAUAGAUCUUGACUUGAUCUCUCCUCCCCGGCAAGGGCGCCACAAAUAGGCGUGUUGACGGGAGAUUAUUCUUGUAUUGAUACUCCUCGACAAGCGAUCCUCCUCCCCGGCAACGGCACCAAAAAUCCUUCUGCUACUGCAACAACAGACCUUCCCUGGUAACUGCGCCAGGAAUCCUGCUGCUACGGGCUACGCCUAUAGGGACUUCCUUGGCAAAUAUGCAAAUGAUUUCCCCGCGGCCUUGGAGCCUUGUGUUGGUGUUCCCUUGAAGAGGAAAGGGUGAUGUAGCACAGCGGCGGUAAGUAUUUCCCUCAGUUUGAGAACCAAGGUAUCGAUCCAGUGGGAGGAUCGCGUCAAGUCACAAGUACCUGCACAAACACAAAGAGCUUGCACCCAACGCUAUGAAGGGGUUGUCAAUCCCUUAUAGAUUUGUUUGCAAAGUGAGAACUGAAAGAAAAAGGAAAACAAAGCAAAGUAAAAGUGAAAGUGGAGACGAUAGUUGUGAAUAGACCCAGGGCCGUAGUGUUCACUUGUGGCUUCUCUCAUGAAAGCAAGUCGACGGUGGGUGAACGAAUUACUGUCGAGCAAUUGAUAGAACCGCGCAAAGUCGUGACGUUAUCUAUGGCAAUGAUUAUAUCUAUAGGCAUCACGUCCAAAACAAGUAGACCGAUACUUUUUGCAUCUACUACUAUUACUCCACACGUCGACUGCUAUCCAGCAUGCAUCUAGUGUAUUAAGUUCAUAAGAACAGAGUAACGCCUUAAGCAAGAUGACAUGAUGUAGAUGGACAAUCUCAAAUCUAUGAUGAAAGCCCAUCUAGUUACCCUUGAUGGCAACAACAUGAUGCGUGCCUUGCUGUCCCUUCUGUCACUGGAAAAGGUCAUCGCACGGUAUGAACCCAAAACCAAGCACUUCUCCCAUUGCAAGAAUCAUAGAUCUAGUUGGCCAAACAAAACCCAAGACUCGGAGAGACUUACAAGGAUAUAAAAUCAUGCAUAUAAGAAAUCAGCAAAGACUCAAAUAUAAUUCAUAGAUAAUCUGAUCACAAAUCCAGAAUUCAUUGGAUCUCGACAAACACACCGCCAAAGAGGAUUACAUCGGAUAGAUCUCCAUGAAGAUCAUGGAGAACUUUGUAUUGAAGAUGAAAGAGAGAGAAGAAGCCAUCUAGCUACUAACUACGGAUCCGUAGGUCUGAAGUGGACUACUCACGAGUCAUUGGAGAGGCGAUGAUGUUGAUGUAGAAGCCCUCCAACUCCAAAGUCCCCUCCGGCAGGGCACCGGGAAGGGUCACAGAUGAGAUCUCGCGGAAACGGAAGCUUGCGGCACCGGGGAAGUGUUUUCGUGGAUGCCCUGAUUUUUUCUGGGAUUUUAGGGAAUAUAUAGGCGAAAGAGCUAGGGCAGGGGAGCUCCAGGGGGGGCCACAAGCCUGGUAGCCGCUGGCCCCCUUGGUGGUGGCUACAGGGCUUGUCGGCCCCAUGUGGCUCUCUUGCCUUGGCCCUCAAGUCCCCCGAUCUUCUUCUGUUCUAGAAAAAUUUAUUUCGGGGAUUUUAUUCCGUUUGGACUCCGUUCCAAAAUCAAAUAUGAAAAGAGUAAAAAACACAGAAAAAAUAGGAACUGGCACUUGGCACUGAAUUAAUAAGUUAGUCCCAAAAAAGAUAUAAAAGGUAUAUAAAACAUCCAAAGUUGACAAGAUAACAACAUGAAACCAUCAAAAAUUAUAGAUACGUUUGAGACGUAUCAGUGCUCAUCUGUCGUGUCCUGAGAACGAUAUACGCAUCUCCUAUCGGGGUCGUCGACACGCCAAGCGGCCUUGCUGGAUUAGUUUUACCUUUGACGAAUGUCUUGUGCAUCGGGAUUCCAGUGAUGCUUUGGGUAAUCUCAGAGUCGAGGUUUUCCACUAAGGAGUCUGACGAGAUCGCGAGCUUCAUGAUCGAGGAUUUCUAUGCGGCUUGUGGUAAUUUGUGAUGGAUUAGUUGGAGCACCCCUGCAGGGUUAAAUCUUUCGGAAAGCCAUCCCGCGGUUAUGUGGCAACGUGGAAACUUUUUUUAACACUCGUUCUAGAUAACUUUAAGUUAACUUAAUUAAAAUAUGCCAACUGAGUGCGUAACCGUGACUGUCUCUUUCGUGAGUUCCUUCUCCGAUCGAGGACACGGUGGGGUUAUGUCUGACGUAGUAGGUGUUCAGGAUCAUUCAUUUGAUCAUCAGUAGUUCACGUCCGUUAUGCGUAGGUCACCCCCCUCUUUAUUCUUGUACUCGUAAGUUAGCCACCUUAUAUACUCCUUAGUCGCUUGCUGCAGCCUCACCACUUAACCAUACCUCACCUAAUAAGCUUUGCUAGUCUUGAGACCUUUGGAAAUGAGAUUGCUGAGUCCCCUGUGGCUCACAGAUUACUACAACACCAAUUGCAGGUACAUGUAAAGGUUACUUGACGCGAGCGUGUUGAUUGUUCAUUUGGAGUUGCUUCUUCUUCAUCAUCAUCGAUCUAGGAUGGGUUCCAGACCGGUAGCCUGGGAUAGCAAGGAUGGAUGUCGUUCUUUUCUCGUUUGAUUUUGUUUGUAGUCGGACCCUGCUCUUCUUCAUGAUGUUUAUGUAUUGUACUGAUGUGACUCUGAUGUAGCUCGUGGUGUAAGCCAAUUCCAUAUACUCUUCUCUUCGGUACAUGUACUUGUAACGAUAUCCAUUCUUGCGAAACGACGAGAUGCGCUUCUAUCCGUGACGAGGCCCUCGUGCCCAAUUGAGGAUAGGAUUGCAUCUUUGGCGUUACAGUACUCGUGUCCAGAAUUGAGGUGAUUUAGAUGUGCGGACUCCAUCGUAGGGACUACCUUGAAAGAAUUUAUGUUUUGUGCUGUAGUUGAAUAAAGGACCAUUAGCACCUUCUCCAACAAAGAACAAAUGCAAUUCUCCGUGAGGGCUUGGAUAGUUGAUUUGUUCCUUGGGAGACAGAAACCAUCACCAUAGACAACUAAAUCGGGAUGACGAGCAGAAACGGUUUUCCUUUUGGAGGGACCAGCCCUAGAAUUAUGUGUGGUGGUAUUGAUAGUCAGCUUGAGAUGUGAAAAAAAUUUCGCAAUAGAGAGUGGUUCAUCAGUCACAUUGGUUUGUCAAAUAGUUUCAUCUUCUUAGUUGUUGUGAGGUGGUGGAGCAGAAUUAUUUGCAUUUGUUGGGUCUGGGUCAUGCUUAGGAAUGUGAAAAUCUUGCUCGAGAUGAGAGCAAUUUUUCUGCCGGAUCUUGCUCAGAGUUGUUUGGUAGAAUGACUUUCUCGGCCACAUGGGGAUCGAAGAUAGUUGAAGUACCUUGGGUGUUUGGAGGAGGAGUAUUAGGCUCGGAGCGAUGAAUUUUAAUUUCUUCUGAAGCAGAGUGCGUUGAAGAUAAAUCAACUCGAGUAGGAGACGAUGUAUGCACUACUUCAGUUGGCAUUGGUGCUGGUAUCAAAACCGGCGGAUCUCGGGUAGGGGUCUCGGACUAUGGACCUUGGAUUGAUGGGUUGUAGGAGAAGAAGGAGACAAUGUUUACCCAGGUUCGGGCCCUCUUGAGGAGGUAAAACCCUACGCCCUGCUUGAUUAUAUUUAUGGAGUAUGAGGAUUACAGAGUUGAUCUACCGCGAGAUCGUAUGAGCUGAACCCUAGAUGAAUAAACUUGUCUAUGCGGAUGAAACCCUUUGGUUUAUGUAGACACCAGGGGUCCCUGGGGUUACAUAGAACCGGCCUCCACCUAGGGAUAGAUGCGCUGAUCUAGCCUAGUAAACUUGGACGACACGCCAGUCUUCUGAGUUUCCCUUCCUGAACACGAAGUCGCCGUGCAGUCCGGUCUUCAAUAAUAUGGCCCAUAUGGUCGGCUUCUAAAAGAUGGGCCGACCACUCUAGGAAACCUUAAUCCAGGACUCCCUCAGUGGCCCCCGAACAUGCAUCCAAUGCCGAUGUACACGGUCUUCGGCAGCUUCUCUCAUUCAAAGUGACCGGCUUGCGAGGCGAGUUCCCCCCUUAUUCGGCUGGUUCAGACUUGGUCAUCUGGCAAUGUUUAUGCGUUUAAAACAGGCACUGGUUAAUCAGAAGGCCAAAAGGCCCGAGUGUGAAUAGUUCAUCAUUUGACAGCCUUUCUAACGAAAGGUCGCAAUAGUCAGUUAUGACCAAAACUCGAUUCGCGACUCGAUGCCACUUUCCCACGGGCACGUCUUGUCGACGUGGAGACUGUGUCCCGCAUUUAAGAGAAUAUGGGUAAUUGUUUGGGUAAUCCCAUGCGCGUUCACCGGCUCGGUCAUUUUGGAAAGUGGUCGGGCUUGCGGCGCAAUAAACGGGAACCCUUGGCUCAGCACCCCCAUAAAAGGGAAAAAGAUCCAUAGAGCAACCACAUGCAUUCCAGACUCGACCCCCUCCCAUCCUAGCUUCCAAGAGCUCAGAUCCGCUUCGCAUUUCGUCCUCUCCCCUCCGUCCUCCCCCAAAUCCAGCCAUGGCUGCAUCAGGUUCUCACGGCAAGUGGGAGAUCUCAUGCAUCAUUGACAAAGACAUCCAGGAGAUAAAGGAGGCCGGCUAUCUUUCACCGGAUAUCGCUCACCAUGCGCUCGAGGAAGGUCAGAUGGUGCCCACUCCAAGGCCGGGCGGAAGUGUUGGAAUUAUGCCCUAGAGGCAAUGAUAAAUGUAUAGUUAUUAUUAUAAUUCCUGUAUCAAGGUAAUAGUUUAUUAUCCAUGCUAUAAUUGUAUUGAAUGAAGACUCAUUUACAUGUGUGGAUACAUAGACAAAACACCGUCCCUAGCAUGCCUCUAGUUGGCUAGCCAGUUGAUCGAUGAUAGUCAGUGUCUUCUGAUUAUGAACAAGGUGUUGUUGCUUGAUAACUGGAUCACGUCAUUGGGAGAAUCACGUGAUGGACUAGACCCAAACUAAUAGACGUAGCAUGUUGAUCGUGUCAUUUUGUUGCUACUGUUUUCUGCGUGUCAAGUAUUUAUUCCUAUGACCAUGAGAUCAUAUAACUCACUGACACCGGAGGAAUGCUUUGUGUGUAUCAAAUGUCGCAACGUAACUGGGUGACUAUAAAGAUGCUCUACAGGUAGCUCCAAAGGUGUUAGUUGAGUUAGUAUGGAUCAAGACUGGGAUUUGUCACUCCGUGUGACGGAGAGGUAUCUCGGGGCCCACUCGGUAAUACAACAUCACACACAAGCCUUGCAAGCAAUGUAACUUAGUGUAAAGUUGCGGGAUCUUGUAUUACGGAACGAGUAAAGAGACUUGUCGGUAAACGAGAUUGAAAUAGGUAUACGGAUACUGACGAUCGAAUCUCGGGCAAGUAACAUACCGAAGGACAAAGGGAAUGACAUACGGGAUUAUACGAAUCCUUGGCACUGAGGUUCAAACGAUAAAGAUCUUCGUAGAAUAUGUAGGAUCCAAUAUGGGCAUCCAGGUCCCACUAUUGGAUAUUGACCGAGGAGUCUCUCGGGUCAUGUCUACAUAGUUCUCGAACCCGCAGGGUCUGCACACUUAAGGUUCGACGUUGUUUUAUGCGUAUUUGAGUUAUAUGGUUGGUUAUCGAAUGUUGUUCGGAGUCCCGGAUGAGAUCACGGACGUCACGAGGGUUUCCAGAAUGGUCCGGAAAUGAAGAUUGAUAUAUAGGAUGACCUCAUUUGAUUACCGGAAGGUUUUCGGAGUUACCGGGAAUGUACCGGGAAUGACGAAUGGGUUCCGGGAGUUCACCGGGGGGGGGGGCAACCCACCCCGGGGAAGCCCAUAGGCUUUGGGGAGACACACCAGCCCUUAGUGGGCUGGUGGGACAGCCCCAAGGGGGCCUAUGCGCCAAGGAAAGGAAAUCAAAGGAAAAGGAAAAAAAAGAGGGAAGAAGUGGGAAGGGAGGGGGACUCCUCCCACCAAACCAAGUCCAACUCGGUUUGGGGGGGGAGUCCUCCCCCCCUUGGCUCGGCCAACCCCUUGGGAGUCCCUUGGACCCCAAGGCAAGGUCCCCCUCCCUCCUCCUAUAUAUAUGGGGCUUUUAGGGCAAAUCUGAGACGACUUUCUCACGGCUGCCCGACCACAUACCUCCAUAGUUUUUCCUCUAGAUCGCGUUUCUGCGGAGCUCGGGCGGAGCCCUGCUGAGGCGAGAUCAUUACCAACCUCCGGAGCACCGUCACGCUGCCGGAGAACUCUUCUACCUCUCCGUCUCUCUUGCUGGAUCAAGAAGGCCGAGAUCAUCGUCGAGCUGUACGUGUGCUGAACGCGGAGGUGCCGUCCGUUCGGUACUAGAUCGUGGGACUGAUCGCGAGAUUGUUCGCGGGGCGGAUCGAGGGACGUGAGGACGUUCCACUACAUCAACCGCGUUCUCUAACGCUUCUGCUGUACGAUCUACAAGGGUACGUAGAUCACUCAUCCCCUCUCAUAGAUGGACAUCACCAUGAUAGGUCUUCGUGCGCAUAGGAAAUUUUUUGUUUCCCAUGCGACGUUCCCCAACAGUGGCAUCAUGAGCUAGGUUCAUGCGUAGAUGUCUUCUCGAGUAGAACACAAAAGGUUUUGUGGGCGGUGAUGUGCGUUUUGCUGCCCUCCUUAGUCUUUUCUUGAUUCCGCGGUAUUGUUGGAUUGAAGCGGCUUGGACCGACAUUACUCGUACGCUUACGAGAGACUAGUUUCAUCGUUACGAGUAACCCCCUUUGCUCAAAGAUGACUGGCAAGUGACGGUUUCUCCAACUUUAGUUGAAUCGGAUUUGACCGAGGAGGUCCUUGGAUGAGGUUAAAUAGCAACUCAUAGAUCUCCGUUGUGGUGUUUGCGUAAGUAAGAUGCGAUCCUACUAGAUACCCUUGGUCACCACGUAAAACAUGCAACAACAAAAUUAGAGGACGUCUAACUUGUUUUUGCAGGGUAUGAUUGUGAUGUGAUAUGGCCAAUGAUGUUAUGUGAUAUAUUGGAUGUAUGAGAUGAUCAUGUUGUAAUAGAAAUACCGACUUGCACGUCGAUGGUACGGCAACCGAUAGGAGCCAUAGGGUUGUCUUUAUACUAACGUUUGUGCUUGCAGAUGCGUUUACUAUUUUGCUAGGAUGUAGCUUUAGUAGUAAUAGCAUAAGUAGCACAACAACCCCGAUGGCAACACGUUGAUGGAUGAUCAUGGUGUGGCGCCGGUGACAAGAAGAUCGUGCCGGUGCUUUGGUGAUGGAGAUCAAGAAGCACGUGAUGAUGGCCAUAUCAUGUCACUUAUGAAUUGCAUGUGAUGUUAAUCCUUUUAUGCACCUUAUUUUGCUUAGAACGACGGUAGCAUUAUGAGGUGAUCUCUCACUGAAAUUUCAAGACGAAAUUGUGUUCUCCCCGACUGUGCACCGUUGCUACAGUUCGUCGUUUCGAGACACCAUGUGAUGAUCGGGUGUGAUAGACUCAACGUUCACAUACAACGGGUGCAAAACAGUUGCGCACGCGGAACACUCGGGUUAAGCUUGACGAGCCUAGCAUGUGCAGACAUGGCCUCGGAACACAUGAGACCGAAAGGUCGAUCAUGAAUCAUAUAGUUGAUAUGAUUAGCAUAGGGAUGCUUACCACUGAAACUACUCUCGACUCACGUGAUGAUCGGACUUGGGAUAGUGUAAGUGGAUUAUGAACCACUCAAAUGACUAGAGAGAUGUACUUUUUGAGUGGGAGUUUAGCAUAUAAUUUGAUUAAGUUGAACUCUAAUUAUCUUGAACAUAGUCUAAGUCCACUUUGAAUAUAUUUGUGUUGUAGAUCAUGGCUCACGCAAGUGUCAUCCUGAAUUUUAAUACGUUCCUAGAGAAAGCUAAGUUGAAAGAUGAUGGAAGCAACUUUGUAGACUGGGCUGGUAAUCUUAAGCUAAUCUUACAAGCUGGAAAGAAGGAUUAUGUCCUUAAUGCUGCGCUAGGAGAUGAACCACCCGCUACGGCUGAUCAGGAUGUUAAGAACGCUUGGUUAGCGCGUAAGGAGGACUACUCAAUAGUUCAAUGUGCAGUCUUGUAUGGCUUAGAACCGGGACUUCAACGUCGCUUUGAGCGUCAUGGAGCAUUUGAGAUGUUCCAGGAGUUGAAGUUUAUCUUUCAGAAGAACGCCCGGAUCGAUAGGUAUGAGACCUCCGAUAAAUUCUAUGCUUGCAAGAUGGAGGAAAACUCGUCUGUCAGUGAACAUGUGCUCAAAAUGUCUGGGUACUCAAACCGUCUAGCUGAACUGGGGAUUGAACUCCCGCAAGAAGCUAUCACUGACAGAAUCCUUCAAUCACUGCCGCCAAGCUAUAAAGGCUUUGUGUUGAACUACAACAUGCAAGGGAUGAACAAGUCUCCCGGCGAGUUGUUUGCGAUGCUGAAAGUCGCAGAGUCUGAACUCCGUAAAGAGCAUCAAGUGUUGAUGGUGAGCAAGACCACUAGUUUCAAGAGAAACGGCAAAGGCAAGAAGGGCAAUUCGAAGAAGAGCGGCAAGCCUGUUGCCAAUCCACCGAAGAAACCCAAGGCUGGACCUAAGCCUGAAACAGAGUGCCUCUAUUGCAAGGGUAUGGGUCACUGGAAGCGCAAUUGCCCCAAGUAUCUGGCAGAUAAGAAGGCGGGCAAAGAAAAAUCAGGUAUAUUUGAUAUACAUGUUAUUGAUGUGUACUUAACCGGCUCUCGUAGUAGUGCCUGGGUAUUCGAUACCGGUUCUGUUGCUCACAUUUGCAACUCGAAGCAGGAACUGCGGAAUAGACGAAGGCUGGCGAAAGACGAAGUGACGAUGCGCGUAGGAAACGGUUCCAAGGUUGAUGCAAUCGCCGUCAGCACAGUGUCACUUCAACUACCAUUGGGAUUAGUGAUGAACUUAAAUCAUUGUUAUUUAGUGCCUGCGUUGAGCAUGAACAUUAUAUCUGGAUCUUGUUUAUUGCGAGACGGUUACUCUUUUAAGUCUGAGAAUAAUGGUUGUUCUAUUUCUAUGAGUAACAUCUUUUAUGGUCAUGCACCGAAUGUGAGAGGAUUGUUCAUAUUGAAUCUCGAUAGCGAUACGCAUAUACAUAACAUUGAGACCAAAAGAGUUAGAGUAAACAAUGAUAGCGCCAUAUUUUUGUGGCACUGCCGCUUGGGUCAUAUUGGUGUAAAGCGCAUGAAGAAACUCCAUGCUGAUGGACUUUUGGAGUCACUUGACUUUGAUUCACUUGACACGUGCGAACCAUGCCUCAUGGGCAAGAUGACUAAGACUCCGUUCUCCGGAACAAUGGAGCGUGCAAGUGACUUGUUGGAAAUCAUACAUACCGAUGUGUGUGGUCCGAUGAGCGUGGAGGCAUGCGGCGGAUAUCGUUAUUUUCUCACCCUCACUGACGAUUUAAGUAGAUAUGGUUAUGUCUACUUGAUGAAGCACAAGUCUGAAACAUUUGAAAAGUUCAAGCAAUUUUAGAGUGAAGUGGAAAAUCAUCGUAAGAAGAAGAUCAAGUUUCUACGGUCUGAUCGUGGGGGUGAAUAUCUGAGUUUCGAGUUUGGUACUCACUUAAGACAGUGUGGAAUUGUUUCGCAGUUAACACCGCCUGGAACACCACAUCGUAAUGGUGUGUCCGAACGUCGUAAUCGUACUUUGUUAGAGAUGGUGCGAUCUAUGAUGUCUCUUACUGAUUUGCCGUUAUCAUUUUGGGGUUAUGCAUUAGAAACAGCUGCAUUCACUUUAAAUAGGGCACCAUCAAAAUCCGUUAAGACGACACCAUACGAACUGUGGUAUGGCAAAAGACCAAAGUUGUUGUUUCUUAAAGUUUGGGGAUGUGAUGCUUAUGUCAAAAAGCUUCAGCCUGAAAAGCUGGAACCCAAAGCGGAAAAGUGCGUCUUCAUAGGUUACCCAAAAGAGACAGUUGGGUACACCUUCUAUCUCAAAUCCGAGGGCAAAGUGUUUGUUGCUAAAAACAGAACUUUUCUCGAGAAGGAGUUUCUCUCGAGAGAAUUGAGUGGGAGGAAGAUAGAACUUGACGAGGUUGUCGAACCUCUCAUCCCUCUGGAUGGUGGCGCAGGGCAAGGGGAAACCUUUGUCGUUGCGACGCCAGUUGAGGAGGAAGUUAAUGAUGAUGAUCAUGAAACUCCAGUUCAAGUUUCUGUUGAACUACGCAGGUCGACGAGAUCACGCGCUGCUCCAGAGUGGUACGGUAAUCCCGUCUUAUCAAUCAUGUUGUUAGACAACAAUGAACCUGCAAAUUAUGAAGAAGCAAUGGUGGGCCUAGAUUCCAACAAAUGGCUAGAAGCCAUGAAAUCCGAGAUAGGAUCCAUGUAUGAGAACAAAGUGUGGACUUUGGAGAUACUACCUGAGGGCCGCAAGGCUAUUCAGAACAAAUGGAUUUUUAAGAAGAAGACGGACGCUGACGGUAAUGUGACCGUUUAUAAAGCUCGACUUGUGGCAAAGGGUUUUUUCACAAGUUCCAGGAGUUGACUACGAUGAGACCUUCUCACCCGUAGCGAUGCUUAAAUCCGUCAGAAUCAUGUUAGCAAUAGCUGCAUUUUUCGAUUAUGAAAUCUGGCAGAUGGAUGUCAAAACGGCGUUCCUUAACGGUUUCCUUAAGGAAGAGUUGUAUAUGAUGCAACCCGAAGGUUUUGUCGAUCCUGAAAAUGCUGACAAGGUGUGCAAGCUUCAGCGAUCCAUUUAUGGACUGGUGCAAGCAUCUCGGAGUUGGAACAAACGUUUUGAUGAGGUGAUCAAAGCAUUUGGGUUUAUACAAGUGGUUGGAGAAUCUUGUAUUUACAAGAAAGUGAGUGGGAGCUCUGUGGCGUUUCUAAUAUUAUAUGUGGAUGACAUAUUACUGAUUGGAAACAACGUAGAGCUUUUGGAGAGCAUAAAAGGUUACUUGAAUAAAAGUUUCUCUAUGAAGGACCUAGGAGAAGCUGCUUACAUUCUAGGCAUUAAGAUCUAUAGGGAUAGAUCAAAACGCCUGAUAGGACUUUCACAAAGCACAUACCUUGAUAAAGUUUUGAAGAGGUUCAAAAUGGAACAGUCCAAGAAAGGGUUCUUGCCAGUGUUACAAGGUACGAGAUUGAGUAAGACUCAGUGCCCAGCAACUGAUGAAGAUAGAGAGCAUAUGCGCUCCGUCCCCUAUGCUUCAGCCAUAGGUUCUAUCAUGUAUGCGAUGCUGUGCACUAGACCGGAUGUUAGCCUGGCCAUAAGUAUGGCAGGUAGGUUCCAGAGUAAUCCAGGAGUGGAUCACUGGACAGCGGUCAAGAAUAUCCUGAAGUACCUGAAAAGGACUAAGGAGAUGUUUCUCAUGUAUGGAGGUGGCGAAGAGCUCGCCGUAAAAGGUUACGUCGAUGCAAGCUUUGACACAGAUCCGGACGACUCUAAGUCGCAAACCGGAUACGUAUUUAUUCUUAAUGGGGGUGCAGUAAGCUGGUGCAGUUCCAAGCAAAGCGUCGUAGCAGAUUCUACAUGUGAAGCAGAGUACAUGGCUGCCUUGGAG